CUUUCUCUCUCUCUCUCUCUCUCUCUCUCUCUCCCUCUCUCUCUCUCUCUCACUCACUCUUCAAAUCCCCAACAUCAUUUUCUAUCUUCCUCUCUUUCUGUAUAACCACGAACUUUUUCCAUAAAAUGAAGCCAAAAAUACACCUUCAACUCUAAAUCUUCAUCAUCUAGGGUUGUUCUUCAAGGUAAUCACAAAAAUCCUUCAAUCUUCCUUCAAAAUCUCAAGUUUUCUCACAUAUCUUCUUAUUCUACACCAUUCUAUGGAUGGAUUAUGAAUCAUAUGUUCAUAACCAUGAUUUUUAUGAUGUUGGAGGUAGUAUUUAACCCCAAAACCAACAUGUAUGUGAUGAUCUUCAAGCUUAGAGGCUUGAUCAUCAAAGUAUGUUGUUAAAAGCCUUUCAAAUAGGUUUAUAAAGGAUUUAUUCCCAAAUAAAUAUCUAAAACAACUUUUCUGAUCAAAUCUGAUUUUUCCCUGUAUUCCACCAACAAAAUGAGAUGUUCUACAAAUUUGCAGAAAAUAAUUCAUUUUUCUCGAAUUAUUUUAAUUAUUUCAAUAAAAUAGGACAAUAAAUCAUAUAAAAUACUUUCUGAUCAAAUAAAUAUCUAAAACAACUUUUCUGAUCAAAUCUGAUUUUUCCCUGUAUUCCACCAACAAAAUGAGAUGUUCUACAAAUUUGCAGAAAAUAAUUCAUUUUUCUCGAAUUAUUUUCAUUAUUUCAAUAAAAUAGGACAAUAAAUCAUAUAAAAUACUUUCUGAUGUCUAUAAAUCCUAGGUAAAUUCGUGGAUGACUAUAUGGUAAAUAGUGACUGUUUAGUGUGGUUUUGAAUUUUCUUUUUGGUUAGCACCAAUAAAUUAUAAAACCACUUUAUAGAAUGUGAAAAGGGUAUCUAAUAAUUUCCGCAGCUCCUACACUAUGUGUCUGACUCAGAAGAAUAUUUUCAGAAUUUUUCAUAAUGCAUUCCCAUUUUCCCCUAAUUUUUGUAUUUAUAAUUGACUAAAAACAGGAAAAAAUAGUUCUACACAUCCAAAAUUCAUGAAAAUUUACCAUAAGACUUUAUAAUAUAUUAGAAUUCUAAAUAAAAUUUUGGAUGGUUUUUCUAUUCAGUAUGCUAUUUUUUUCUAUUUUCUAAGAUUAAAUACACUUAAAUCCACAAAAUCGGAUUAUAGUAGAUAAAAACCACCUUUGGGAUUUUUUUUCCAGAUAACUUACACUGUAAAUGAAGUUUACAAAAAUUUUGGUAAUUUACUUUAACUGUUUAAUAAUUAUUCUCCAAUUAAUAAUUAUUUAAGAGGAUAAAAAAAAUAGCAGUGUAACAAAAAGUUUGGGCAGUUUGGAAACUGUUUUCUAUUUAUUUCAAUUUUUAUUAGAAUAAAUGCACAAAAAACAUAAAAUUCGGUUAAAUAGUUUAGAAAUCCAUUUUUAUAUUUUUCCCAACUUACGUAUGUGUAAUUCCAGUAUUAUAUAAAGUUUGGGAAUUUUAUCAUCUUGAUUCUAUUUUUCACGAAUUUAUCUUGUUAUGAAGGCAUAAAAAUUUGGAAAAAUAUUUAAUUACAUCAAAAAUUCAAGGGAAAAUUUCUGGAAGAAAUCUACUGUGUUUAGAAUGAAAAUGCAAAGUUUGACAAUUUUUGGAAACCGUUUGAUAAUAUUUUGGAUUUUUUGGAGCUUAAAACACCUUUAGAUGUGUUGAAAUACCCUCAAUUAAUGUUACAAAAAUCUGGAAAUUAACAUCUAAAAAUGUCUUUAAUCACAUGAGUUAUAAAAUUUCAACAUUUUAUAAAAUGUUUAUAACUUAAAAAUAUUAAAUUUUGAAACAAUAUUGACAUAAUUAUAUUGUAGUAGUAAGUAUACUAGUGUUAGAUUUCGAUUAGAGACUCACUAGUGUAUACCAUUAUUGUAGGAAUCGGUAGAGUUACUAGUGGAACGUGGUUCAAGGCACCAUUUGCAUCAUGUCAAUGCAUAGUGAGUAUUCACGCACUCCCCCUAUUUUCGGUUUUUAUGUUUUGGGGUGGCAAAGCAUGUCCGAAAAACUAUUUAUUGUUCGUUCUAUUUAAAUUGAUUUGUAUCAAACUAUUUUGCUAUAAUUUGCUAGAUUUUGCUAUGUAUGUCUAUGCAACACGAAACAUGAGGCCUUAUCGUCUUUAGUCCCUUCCCUUAUACUUUACUCUAACCAUUAACUCUUUGAGCCAAUGGUCAUUAUGGAUAGCGCUAUUAGGAAUUGACAACUCCUUACUCGCCCGAUUGCUUGAGUGCAUGAUACCAUAUAAUCUAUGGAACGAUAAGCAUAGAUCUUGAUAGGACAUCAGUCAUAGGCUUGGUUGGGAACUCAUUGUUUGCUCAUACACAUACAAACUUGUUACUUAUUAUAGCAACACACUUGUUUAUUAACUAUAGCAAUGAACUUUAUUUCCCAUGAGAAUAUGAACGUUGCAUCUCAUUUGGGCAACAUACUUUAUGUUUCAUGAUGACAACGAACUUUGUUUAUGCAAACUUAUUACUCAUUUUUGCAAUAUAUUUCUAUUUAUGGAAACUUUAUUACUCAGUUUAGCAACAAACUUCUAUUCAUGAAAACCUAUUUACUUAUUUUAGCAAUAAACAUUUAUUUAUGGAAACUGUUAUCAAUAUUAGAUUAUCAUGAAUUUCAAACUAUAUUAUGUUAUAAACUUGUGAGUACUCACCAACUAUUUUUAUAGUUAAUGCUCGUUUUACAUGCUUUUUCAGGAAUCAUCGAGUAAGUGGCACUUAGGGACACAUCACUUUUAGGAACAUUCGCAUUGUUGUAUUUNGUUGUAUUUCAAUUUUCAUUGUAAUUUCUUUUAAAAGUUGUUCAAAUGCAUUGUAAAUUUGUAAUGAUUUUUAAUACUAUGGUUGGUGUUGUCUUUUAACUUUUGCUAUGAAACCCUUUGUACCAUCACACCCCGUGUUUCCUCUUUAGCGGGGUGUGACAGUUUAGGAACUGGAUAGCUGGAUAAUCAAAUGUGAGAGUUCAUUUCGUCUAAGUUUACCUGCAGCAUACUUGACCAGACUCCUGUGAUCUUUUGUAUGAUCAAGGGGGUAUCAUGGAGGUGUUAGAGGAGCACUUGGGCUAUUUUCGAUCUGAUAUAGUGACGUUGGUGUUGGGUUUUGAGCAUUCUAACACUCCCAAGUGUACAUGCAACCCUAAAUACCUUGGAUCUAUGUUUUCUCUAUUAUACAUGCAAAUAUGAACAUUCCAAGGUAUUACCCUAUCUAGCAAUCAAUCUAUGAUACUUGGGUAAUAAAACAAGUUAGAAUACAUACCUUGUUGUUGUAACUUGUCUUCAUGAAGCUUGAGUGCCAAGUGCCCCAAGUGUGACACCUCAAAUGGUUCACACAACACCAAAUGCACAUGGAAAUGACUUGAUAGAAAUGUACCACUCCUUGAAAUCGUCUAGCCCUCAUAUUCACACACUAGUGCACGAUUUCUUGAGUCAUGGGAUUCUUUUAUAUGGUGGAUAUUAGGGUUACACCAUGUAAUUCAUAACUUUACCCAUUCCUUAUGCUCCAUGGAUUUUGACCUCCAUGGAGUAUCCAUGGGUCACCCCAUGGACUUAGUCCAACAUAAGGAAUCUUGGAUCACAAGCCCACAUAUAUAAGAAUGAAUGAUUUACACAAUCAACCCAUAUAUUUAAUUAGUCUCCUUUUGAUCACUUAAUUACUUCCAAAUUAAUUCUUGAUCAAUACUAAUUAAAUAACCUUAUUAAUAUAUUAGAACUUAUAAUAUAUUAAUAAACCUUAAGUGUUAUUUCUCUCAUUUUAGUCUAUCCAAAUGCAUGAUGCCAUGCAACCCAAAUGGACCAUGCUGGGUCGGGUCAAGUCUUACCAAUUAUAGUUAUGGACUUAGACAUUAAUCCAACAGUCUCCCACUUGGAUAAGUCUAAAACUAUUAUUGCGUAUGACUUCAGGAACCGACUGGCAAUCGUAGCUCUCAAAAGCUUCUGUCGAACUCUGACCUUGUCGAUGAACUCUGACCUUUGUCAAUGACUUGUCCAUUAGAUAAGGGAUCAUAUAUUCCUCCAUUCUAGAUAUCAUAUGGACUGAGACAUGGAUUAUAAUCAUUCUCUCUGUCCAUUUGUUGUUUCCUGAUUUCCGAUGCAUGAUGACUGACUGAUUGAACAAAUCAAAUCAAUCCUGGCUUGGCCAAGCACUCACAUGUAUCAUCAUUAAAUCAUCAAGGGGCCCACAGAUAUUUGUUUUAUACCGAUGGUAAAAGGAAUGGAUAAACUUUGACUUAUAUGGCUUGUUCUACUACUUGUUGAAUCAUACACAAAGGCAUGUUUUAUAACAUCGAGUUACCAAUGCAUUUCCGUGCAAUCAAUGUAUAACCAACUCAUAGUAACAACUCAUAUCUCUAGGUUUGAAGAAUAUAAGAUAUUAUCGUCUCAUGAUCACUCGUGAUAAAAUCCAUGAAGUGAUUCCAAUGAGCACGGGUUGAAUCCAAUACUCAGAACUUAUGAGCACUCAUGAGUGUUGUAGCACCACCUUGUCCAACAUCUUAGACCUCUACAAGCCCAACCCAUGACAAUCUUGAUUCAUAUCUACUUCCAACAUAUGACCGACUGUGGAUGGUAUGAAUAACUUAGUCAUUCAGGAAGAACAACCUAGUUAUUCUGGAAGUCAAAACAUGCAAAAUGAAACACAAGAAUAAUUGAAUCCAAUAUGGUCUCAGAACUUAUGAAUAUAAAUAAAACACCUUUUAUUUAUCAUAAUAUGAUUACACAUUAUUCAUUGCAUACUGUUUCAACUAUCAACUUUAUUCUUGAAUUAAAAAACACUAGUUGUCCCAUGCUCUGAGCAUGUACGCUAUGUUUUUCUAAACAAUAGCUUUGCCAUACACCAAGUAUGCACACUAUGUUUGUCUAUGAACUUUACUUGGUGAAAUAGAUCGAUUGAACAUAACUCAAAUGAUUCUCAUUUCACAGUCCAAAAUCCCUACCUCAAAUGCAAGAAUUCCAAAUUCAUGUCAUUUUCCGAAAUCUGUUAGAUUCUAAACCUAUAUGCAUUGAUCCUCUUGUAAUGAUUAUGCACAAAGUCACAAAGACUUUACAACAAACAUUACAGAGCAUUCCAAUGGAGAUCAACUCCAUGGAAACAUCAUUCUUGCAUUCAGUUUCCUAAUCUUACACAAAUUUAUUGAACAACUUCCACCUUCCCAUAUUCCCAUUUUGACUAUCACUUCUGAACAAGAAUUUCCUCUUUUCAGAAUAUGUCAACAUGAUCCUUCCAAAAUUAACACUAUACUUCCAAUUGUCCCUGAGCAACCAAUCUUUGGUAAACCUUAGAUUUUUCUCAACAAUUUCUUAAUCAUUUUAUUCAUAUCCAGUUCUAGCCUUUUCCCUUCUUAAUGCCCUGAGCAUUUGGAAGAAUUUAGAAAGGAUAAAUAUUAUAGAACAUGCAAUCGAUCAUGUACCCAAAGCAAAUGGGACACGAUUCAUGAUGUUUCACAUAAAGACUUGAUUCUAGAUCAGUCUUUUGCUACAAUAUUUUUUAUUUGCCAUGUUCUCAAAAGUUUGAUUAUGAAGAGCGAUAUCGUAAUCAUAAUCGAAUUUUGUGAACGCAAUAUAUAUGAAUUUUCUUAAGUUGAACCAAUCCAACAUAAAAUUCAUAUAUAUAUUCUUGACUAAAGAUGAUUAAUAUCUCAACCUAAGCCUUUUAGAAUUGAAAUGAAGUAUAAUUUCCUCUCCCUUAAUUAUAGCAAAACAACUUUUUCAACCCCUGCAACCUCAAGAAUUGAAAUUUUUGUUUUCUAUAAUUAACAUUGUUGUCUUGAAAUACUUAUCAUAAUUAUCAUGCUCCCACUAACAUGAUAAUUAUUAUCAUAACACUUAUGCUCCCACUAGCUUUGACAUAUACUCAGAAAUCAGCUGAACUUCUAGAAAAACUAUACUUUAUUGAGUUUCUUACCAAAGUUCAGAUUUCUGAUACUAGAUUGCUUUCAUAAGACUUUAUCAAAAUCAUACACCUCCCCUUAGAUAGCUCACAGGUGUGUCUAAACAAUUUCAGAACUAUGAAAAGGGAUGACAUAAUCAUAGUCUCAACUAUUUAGACCUUUGCUUCAUAAGUCCAUGUUAGUGUGUCGGUUAACCACACAUGCUACACUAACGACUUUGAGAAUGGAAAGAUUGCUAUCUACUUAAAAUCUACUUGGUGGAAGUGUUUCCUCACCAUCAUUUUCAUGAAUCGGAGAGAAACCUUAUGACCCUUAGAUUUGAUGGUAUAUGUGUUCUUAUCCACGUGAAUUUGUCAAAACCAUAAUCACAAGACUAGGUUAAUGACAAAUCCAAACUCAUAUGUAUUAAACUUGUGCAAUCUAAACUUCUUGUCACCUGGUAGCACAAGGGACUGCCACUGUCUCCUUGAAAUACAAGUUUUUCUUCUUGAUUGCUUCUUGAAAUCCUUUCAAUAUCCUUUUAGAUUCCCAUUGUCUCCUUGACCUAUAAGACUUUCUUGCCAAAUAUUCAAGAGAUAGUGUGGAUUCUAAUCAAGACAAACACUUACCACAAUUGGCCUUAGUUGGUCUUUGUUUUAUCCAAAACAUCACAACUUACCAAUUUCAAAUGUACAAGAGUAGAAAACUUUUACUCUUACAUUUGACAAGUGUUUUAAACCUUCUUUAAGACAUGUCACUCAAGUUACAAUCUUAGAGUAUAACUCUAAGAAUUUUUUUUGGAACGAAGUAUGAAUCAUCUUCUUGAUUUAACCACUUCAACAAUUCAUAACUCCUCUUCUUAACUAUCAGAAUGCACUUAGAGGAUGAAUUGUGAUAAGGUCUCAAAAUCAUUAAGAUGGCCUUAAAACAUGGUACUAAAGUACUCUCCCAUCUUUUUAGAUUUGAGAAACUUUCAUCCUUCUGCCUAAUUUGAUUCUUCUUAUUCGUUCCGUCAUACAUUGAAACUUUUCCAAUGUUUCAGAAUUAUACUUAAGCUUGUAAGUAUAAUCAUAUUUACUAAACCUUAGUAAAUCAUAAUGAAUAGUCUUAUCCAUUUUUUGUGGUGAACUUUGGCUAGUGCACAAGAAUGUGUACUUGAUCCCUUAGUCCUUCUCUUGAGUCACAUAUACAUAUGAACACGGAACUAGUCUUAAUUUUCCAAAGUUGAAAAUUCUCAUACAUCACACUAAAUGCCUUGUAUGAUUCUAAGUUUCGGUCCAAUUGAAACUUGGGUGAUGAGAAUCAUUCCUUAUUUGGUAAAUUUAGACACUAUCACAAAUGAAAGAAUCAAAUUCAUAUUUUCAAUAUUGCUAUAAACAUACAAAUAUCAAGUUUUCAUUAAUGCCAUUGUAAGGAUAUAAAAAUAAAGUAAAACAAACUUUUAUUUAUUUUAAAAUGCAGAAAAAACUUUUCGAUACAAUGCAACAUAAAAUGAAAAUUAUGCUAUUACAUUUUUCCUAGCAAUCUAUCAUAACUCCUAAGUAGCUCAAGAAUCCGAUCUUCAACCAAGCGAUAGAAAUUCAUCUUCGCAAUCAGAUUCAACAUACUCUUCUUUUAAGUUUCUUCACUUUUCUUUAAUUCUUAAAACAUCAACAUGUGACCCAGUCACAUCAUUUAACAAGAAUCUCAGAAUAGAAACUUAACAGAGUCAGAUAGUAGACUUUACCUGAAGUAGAGUCAAACUUAUUGACUUUAACAUCCUUAGGUAAAUUUGGUAGCUUCGCAAACAGUGCCCCUUCCUUUGGCAAUUUUAGCAAAUAAACCCUUUGGUAAUGGUACAUGGGACUAUCACAGACUUAGCUUUUAUCUUUACCAUUUGGUCAACCGAGUUGACUAUGGCCGAUCCUUUUCCAUUGGGAAGAGAACACUUUUUCUGGAUUUCUAGUGUCAUCAUUGUCAAUGUCCAUAAAGUUUUGGGAAGUUGAUCUUAGCAAAUAGAUAAGAUCAUUAAGGGUCUAGUCAUAGUCUGUUUAAUAGGAGUCCCAAAGGAACUCACUAUGUGACUUAGAAAGUGAUUGGACAUCCAACUUUCUCAAGACUUUCACACCCAACUCUCCCGGCUUGUCAAUAUGUGACUUUAUCUCCAAGAUGCAAUCACACAUAGACUUUGCUUGCCAAUAGGGCUAGAGUGAUCUUGAACUUGUGGGAUAGGGAGAAUAAUUGGAGGAGGUGGAGGAAGUGAAGUUCCAAGAGAUUUGGGAGGAUCAUAGAUGUCUGAACUAGACAUCUUUUGGGAGAUAUUCAAGAUAGUUGAUCUAAAGUCCUUAAUAUAACACCUAAUAUGAAAUAUUAAGGCUAGGACCCUACAAACUAUUUUAUAACUUGGAAGAGGGAUGUCGUAAUCCAAGCUAUAAAAUAUUUGAAGGUAGGUGAAUGACGAUUAACCAAUUUCCACCAAGAUAAAUGAAAUGUAUUAUUAGGUUUUAAUUGGUUUUGAAACACCUAGGUUCUUUUGAGAUUCAUUGAACUUUUCAAUGGCAUGUUUCAAUCUCGAGUGUGCCCUUCAAGUUUUGUGACUGGGAUGUCAAGGAUCACCAAACAAGGUGUGAAUAACCAUGCAAAUAUACUUGGUACCCUUAAUAUUUACCCCUCAAUCGAUGUGUCGGUUAACCACACACGCUCCAUCGAUGUUAUGAUAAACAUCAAGUUACCCUUUGCCUACCUUAUUAAAUCAAGCUAGUGUGCCGGUUAACCACACACGCUCCACUAACCGACUUAAACAAAGUGCAAAGUGUAAUUUCAUGGAUUAGCACCUUAUUCACAUUUUCCUAAGUAACUAAGAUUGGGUAUUUAUUAAAGGUUUAGUUACUUAGUAUUUAUCAUUAAUACUUUUAAUGAAGGGAGAAUUAUAGUCCAAUCCUACCCGUUCGGCUAACGACCCUCCACCAGUCAAGGAAGCGGUGGGUGAGAGUGGACACCCAUUAAACUGCCAUUUUAUAGGCAGUAACCUUAUACCCCCCUUAUAGACCGGCUUCGUGAAUGAGGCCUACUAAUGGUAAGACGACUUGCUCUUAUACAUAUAUAUAAAUAUUAUUAACUUAUAAUAUUAUAAAGUAUAAGGGUUGAAUUUUAACUUUUAAAAUUCUAAGGGCUUAACUUGGAAUUAAAGUAUUCAUAUGUGAAAACUUUACAAAUUCCAAAACUUGAGGGCAAGUUUUUGAAACUAUUCAAAACUUUUUAUUUCAUAACUUAUGAGUUUAAUGGUUCAUUAAAAUGAAGACUCUUCAUUUUUUAUGUAACCUCUUAUUCUUUAAUAAGACUUUUAAAGAAGUGACUCUUAAACAUCCAUAACUUGAGGACAAGUUAUGGAAUCAUAAUACUAUUUAAUGAAAAAGACUCUUCAUUUUUUUUAUCUAUCCUAUGACACCUUUAUGAGUUUUAAGAUUCAUAAAUGUUACCUUUUAUGUAACUUGAGGACAAGUUACAAAAACACAUUUUAUGAACUACCUCUAGAUUAAUUAGGAUUGAAAACAACUAAAACACAAAUUUUUUUCCAUUAAUCUAAACUAACUCAUAAAUCAAGGAAACAUAAACCUUUUGGUAAUCCAUAACUUAUGGACUUAAAUGCUUGUUUUAUGAUGAAACUUUUCAAGUUCCAUAACUUAAGAAUAAGUUAUGGAAUUCUUUUAAAACAUUAACACCAAAUUUUGUAACUCCAUAAAACUUUGAAUCAAUUUUUUUUAAACCUUUUCAUAUCCAUAACUUAUGGAGGUUUAAAAAAAACCCUUUAGAUCAAACUUUUAAAACUAAUAAAAUAAUCAUAUCAUUUUAUCUUUUACUAAAUUUGACCUAAUUCAACUCAUAUAGCAAAUGAUUUAAUUUUUACAAAUAAUUAGUUUUUGCACAAAAACAAGUAAUUAUCUUAAAAUUUGACAAACGUCAUGUUUUUUUCCCCUUUUUUUUCAAAUUUGAAAAUAAAACAUUUGCAUCAAUAUAACAAAAAACAACCCAUGGCUCUGAUACCACUAUUGGGUUUAGAGCAUUCUAACACUCCUAAGUGUACAUGCAACCCUAAAUACCUUGGAUCUAUGUUUUCUCUAUUAUACAUGCAAAUAUGAAUAUUCCAAGGUACUACCCUAUCUAGCAUUCAAUCUAUGAUAUUUGGGUAAUAAAAGAAGUUAGAAUACAUUCCUUGUUGUUGUAACUUGUCUUCAUGAAGCUUGAGUGCCUAGUGCCCCAAGUGUGACACCUCAAAUGGUUCACACAACACCAAAUGCACAUGGAAAUGCCUUGAGAGAAAUGUACCACUCCUUGAAAUCGUCUACCCUCAUAUUCACACACCAGUGCCCGAUUUCUUGAGCCAUUGGAUUCUUUUAUAUGGUGGCUAUUAGGGUUACACCAUGUAACUCAUAACUUUACCCAUUCCUUAGGCUCCAUGGAUUUUGACCUCCAUGGCGUAUCCAUGGGUCACCCCAUGGACUUAGUCCAACAUAAGGAAUUUUGGAUCAUAAGACCACAUAUAUAAGAAUGAAUGAUUUACACAAGCAACCCAUAUAUUUAAUUAGUCUCCUUUUGAUCACUUAAUUACUUCCAAAUUAAUGCUUGAUCAAUACUAAUUAAAUAAUCUUAUUAAUAUAUUAGAACUUAUAAUAUAUUAAUAAACCUUAAGUGUUAUUUCUUUCAUUUUAGUCUAUCCAAAUGCAUGAUGCCAUGCAACCCAAAUGGACCAUGCCGGGUCGGGUCAAGUCUUACCAAUUAUAGUUAUGGACUUAGACAUUAAUCCAACAGUUCAGUGGGGCAUGUUCAUUGACCUUCAGGGAAUUAUGGGCAUAUGGGACUCUAGAGUAUUUCGGGGAGAAGGACCUGAUCAUGAGUAGACGUUGGUUAGCAGAUGUCACUUAUGCCUUCUACACUAGCAGUUGCUCCGUUUGGGAAAAGGUCAAACUUGUUUCUUAUCUUCUGAAAGACAGAGCUUAGGACUGAGUAGUAGCAUGAGGAUCACCCGAGGGAGGUGCUAGAGACACUGAGGAAGGAGAGACUUUUCUCAAAGUUCUCCAAGUGUGAGUUCUGGUUGCGCGAGGUGCGGUUUCUAGGGCACCUUGUCAACCAGAAGGGUAUGUUGGUUGAUCCGGCCAAAAUAGAGGUCGUGAUGCAGUGGGAGGCUCCGAGGUCUCCAUCUGAGAUUCGGAGUUUUCUUGUUCUGGUGGGUUAUUAUUGGAGAUUCAUCCAGGAUUUCUCCAAGAUUUUUGUUCCCUUAACCUGGCUGACCAAGAAGUCGGUGACAUUCCGUUGGUGGCCUGAGCAGCGGGUAGCCAUGGAGACUCUCAGACACCGGUUAUGCAAGGCACCGAUUCUGACUUUGCCGGAGGGCGUCGAUGACUUCGUGGUUUACUAUGAUGCUUCGAUCACGGGUAUGGGUGCAGUGUUGAUGCAACAAGGUCACGUCAUAGCAUAUGCUUUAAGGCAUUUGAAGCCUCAUGAGGCGAACUACCCGACGCAUGAUUUGGAGAUGGGGGAUGUGGGUUUCGCCCACAAGAUUUGGAAACAUUACCUUUAUGGGGUUCAUUGUACCAUCUACACUGACCACAAGAGUUUGAGGUAUCUGAUGGACCAGCUAAAUCUGAAUAUAAGGCAACGUCGGUGGCUAGAUGUGGUUAAGGACUACGAUUGUGAGAUCCUCUACCACCCGGGGAAGGACAAUGUCGUGGCCGUUAUUCUCAGCCGCAAGGCAGUUGCAGCACCAAUACGAGACAUAUGUCUGAGGAUGACAAUGAUUACUUCGUUGUUGGAGCGGAUCCGGGAGGCGCGGGUCGAGGGUAUGAAGGAAGAGCAUCGGAAGUGUGAACGGAUCGUAGACCAGGUGGCCUCAUUUGAUUACGACAGUCGCGGUUUGUUGAACCUGCAUUGGAGAGUCUGAGUUCCUUACUGGGGCGGUGUACGACAAGUUCUAAUGGAUGAGAAUCACAAGUCGAGGUUCUCCAUCCAUCCCGGGGUGGCGAAUACGUAUCGGGAUCUUCGCCCUGAUUAUUGGUGGCCCUACAUGAAGCGGGACAUUGCAUGGUAUGUAGAGCGGUGCUUGACUUGCCGAAAAGUCAAGGCCGAACACCAGCAACCUCACGGAAAGUUGCAGCCGUUGGAUAUUCCUAAGUGGAAAUGGGAAGAUAUCAUUAUCGAUUUCAUCACGAAGCUUCCCAAGAUCGCAAGUGGAGUAGAUUCGAUAUGGGUCAUCAUGGAUCGGUUGACAAAGAGUGCUCAUUUCAUACCGAUCCAGGAGAGUAUAUCAGUUGAGAAGCUAGCCAAGAGCUACGUAUGUGAGGUGGUGGCACAUCAUUGAGUGUCGGUUUUGGUUGUGUCAGACUGUGAUGUUCGUUUCACUUCCAGAUUUUGGAAGCGGUUUAAUGACGAGAUGGGUACUCGUCUUCACUUCAGUACCUCCUUUCCACCCUCGGACGGAUGGGCAGAGUGAGAAGACGAUUCGGACUCUAUAGGACAUGUUGCAUGCGUGCGUAUUGUAUUUUAGAGGUAGUUGGGAUACGUAUCUUCUGUUAGCGGAAUUUACGUAUAACAACGGCUACUAUGCUAGCAUAAAUCAAUCUCCCUUCGAGAUGCUCUACGGGAGGAAAUACAGGACCCUAAUCUAUUGGGGCAGGGUUGGUCAGAGAUUCAUGAGGAGUACUAAGGUAGUACUCAAGACCACUUAGAAGAUCCAGAAGUUCCGAAGCAGGCUUCAGACUGCUCAAAGUCGGCAGAAAAGCUAUGCCAAAAAGCGACGUUCGGACUUAGAGUUUCAGGUGGGCGACAAGGUUCUCUUGAAGGUGUCCCCUUGGAAAUGUGUCAUCCGGUUCAGGGAGCGAUGGGAGCUGGGGCGCAGGUACAUCGGUCCGUUCAGAGUUUUGCCUCGGGUGGGCCAAGUUGCUUGUUGUUUGGAUAUUCCAGCAAAGCUCAGCUAGAUCCACAACACUUUUCAUGUCUCCCAGCUACCGGAAAUGCUUAGUGGAUGACUCCGCAGUUAUGCCUUUAAAGGAUAUACAUGUUGAUGACAGUAUGAACUACAUCGAGAGACCAGUAGCCAUUCUCAACAGGAAGAUGAAAGAGCUGAGGAACAAGAGGGUAGAGCUCGUGAAGGUGCAGUGGCAGAACCGCAAGGGCACGGAGUGAACUUAGGAGCCCGAGAAGCAGAUGAUAGAGCACUAUCCGGAGAUAUUUCCAGACGCAGCGGACUUCGAGGACAAAGUCUGAUUCAAGUGGGGGAGAAUUAUAACAUCUAUGACUUGAGGUAAUAAUAAUUAUUUAAUAUAUUUGUAAACAAUUGUUGGGCUAUGAGAUAAAUAAUGGAUUAUUGAGUUGGUCCUUAACAAGUGGGCCGUUACAUUUGGGGUACCCAAAGACAUACGUUGGGCGUAAGCUUAGCGUAUGUGGGGCGUAGUGCAACAUUGGAUGCGGGCGACGGAGGUGCGUACGCGCGACAUACGCAAGCGGACUCAAAACCCUAAUUUUUAGGGUUUAAGCCAUAUAAAUAUAACUUUAUGUCCCAAACCCUAGCCUCCUUACCAACCAGCUCAACCCAGAAACCCUAGAAACCUUUCAUUCUUCAACCUUACAUGUUUUUGGCCUUAUGAAGUUUACUUUGGAGAUUUGAAGCUUGGAAGGAGAAAGAAGAAGUUGAAGAAGAAGGACUUAAGUAACUUGAGCUCAAGGAUCUGGGAUAACACCACCAUUUGGCAUUCAUUUGAGGUAAAAAGCUCUAAACUUGCCUCAUGAAUGCUUAGAUCUAUGUUAUGGGUGUUUUGGACCUUUUUUAGGUCUCAAGAAUGGAUUUUUAUGCUUCAAAUCCGUUUCUAGACUAAAGGUUGCCACCCUUAGUGUUAUAUGAGUCCUAAGAGCAGUAAAGUUUCAAUCUUGAAGGUCCUUUUGUAACCAUACAUGAGUUCUAGUCAUUUGCAUGUAAGUUAGUUGGUAUAUUCCAAGUUUGGGUCCAUCUGGUGGGAUGCAAGCCACCAAGUAAUCGAAUUUAUGAGAUGAGACAUGUUAACAGACUCAUAUAUGUAUUUUAGGCUAAAGGUCUUAAAGGAUUAAGCACUUUUAAGGAAUAUUGCUUAACAGGGUAGUACGUUAGGCGUACAAGCCAUGCAGCCUGUACACUUAGCGUACAGAGGAGUACGCCCUACAUACUCGCUGAUUUUGAGCUUCACGUCAUUUGGGCCUCGGUUUGGGCCAAUCUUUGGACUUCUUAGCUGUUGGGCCUUAGUGGACCAUCAGAAGUCAGUUUUUGGGCUAAGGACAUGUUUGGGCUUAAGGGUAGGCCCAUUUGAGAAGUUGGGCCCAAUUUAGAAAAUUGGGCCAUAAGUGGGCCAUUAGUGGGCUUGGAAAGUUUAGAUAGAAUGGGACCAUGGAUGUUAUGAAAUUGGACCUAGGUUAUGGUCCAAAUUAGAUCAGGGAUAAAAUGGUCAUUUUACCCUAACAAUUAUUGGAUUUUGACUAAGUAUUAUUGUGGUAAUGAUAGCUCGGGGAUUCGUGGGAGCAGCCAUUAGAGAUUUCUUACCGUGAGAUUCUGCAUUCAACUUUGCGAGGUGAGUUUCCUCCUGUGGGAACGGGUCGAAGGCACCAAUGUCGGCCUGUUUGUGUAUGUUAGAAUGUUCCGGAGUAAGCUUCGAUGUUGGGCAAUGCUCGAUGUAGGUUAUUAUGUUUUCAGAUUCAGAUCCAAUGUCAGGAGUUUCCCGAGGAAUGUUUGUAUGCUUGAUGUCUUCGUGAUUCAUGCACGUUCUUGUUUUAUAUGUUCCCGGACUUCUAUCCGAUGUUGGGGAAAGCCUGAGGAAUGUUUGUAUGCUUCCGGAUUUUGGUCUGAUGCGGGGCGGGGCCCGAGGAAUGUUUAUUUGUUUAUGUUAUGUGAUUAUGUAUGUGUAUUUUUUGAUAUGUUAUAUGUAUACUGAGCUUUGCUCGAUGUCGAGCGGGGCCCGAUGUUGUAAGCAAGGCCCAUGUCAUGUUAUUAUGUGAUUAUGUGAUUAUGUGUAUGGUAUGUGGUAGUUUGGGGAUACUCACUAAGCUUUGUGCUUACAUUUUUCAAUUUUGGUUUCAGGUACUUCCGGUAGCAAAAGGAAGAGCUCGGGAUGACUACAGUGCACACACCACGAUUUUAGCAUGGGAUGUUUUUACUCUGAUAUGUUUAACAGAUGUUUAUGAUGUUUUGAGAAACAAUGACUUAUUAUUUUCAUGUGAAGUUUCGAUAACUAUGGUUAUAUUAAUAAUUAAAAACGAAAUUUUUGGACCGUAUUUUUGGGGUGUUACAUUUAUAUUUUAACUGCAGAUAGAGCAAAAUAUAACCAAGAACAAACAUGAACAACGAGGAACAACAAACAUGAACAAAUCAGCAACAAAUCAAAAUAGAUACAACAAAAAAUCGGAACAAAACCAGCAAAAAAAAUUAGAAAAAACGUAACUAGGGGAAGAGGGAGAAGUCUUACCUGAUGAAAAGAAGAAAAAAUUGUAAGCUGGUUGGGGUGCAGAGGCUAAAAUCAUCGAUCGAUGGGGCAGAGGUUCAAGUCGUCAAUGGUUGAAAGAGAGAAGAAACAGGAUGGAAGCGCUAAAACUUAGAGCGUAGGUCAAGGGCACUUUUGGAAAUCAUUUCUUUCUUUCUCAUUCAGUAGAUACCGCUCGUCUGUUCCACUCAGAUAUCUCUUACCGAAUCAGACAUCAAAAAUAUAUUUAACAAACACGUUUUGCUGACCAAGUCAGCCAAAAACGUCUGACCCAACUCAGUUAGACGUAUAUCAAACAAGACCUAAGUCUCUAGUCGAAAAUCUAACACUAGUAUAUACUUAAUUUCUACAAUAGAAUUAUGCCAAUAUUGUGUCAAAAUUAGGUUUUGUAUAAGUUGCAAAUAUUUUUCUGAAAAUUCAUAUUUUCAUAUACCAAUUGACUUAUUAACAUUUGCAAGUGACAAAUCCCAUUUUGGGUUAUUGUUUGAAAUGCAUUUUAGCACUUUUGGAAUGGCUGUCCAAUAUAAAAAUCCAAAACUAAAACAAAUCAAUUCUAAAAAUUUUCAAACUUUACAUUUCUGUUCUAACUAGAAUUUAGAACCCUCUUGUAAUUUUUCAUGAUUUUUAAAUAUGUUUAACCAUUUUUCCACCAUUUAAUUCCUUGAAAACAUCAUAAAAUCGUUAAAAAUAAUAAACAGUNUAUAUAUAUAUAUAUAUAUAUAAACUGGGAAAUAUACUCAAAUUGAUUUUCAAACAUUUUGGGAUUCUUUGACCUUUCAUCUUCUACCAUGUUCAUAGAAAAUGAACCAACUUGGUUCUUUCCUUUAGGAUUGUUUUCAAGUUCUUGAAUCCUUAAGGACUCUUCAAUCCGUAAAUUGCUUCCAAGUUGAGUCAUACUUAAUUCCUCUUUAUUAUGUUUCAUAUUAUGUUUAAAAUCUUUUUAGGAAUAGGUAUUUUGUCAAUGAUCAUAGCCACAUAAAUGGCUUCAUCCAUUUUCAUAUUGUGUUAAGAACAAUAUCCCAGGAUCCUUGACAUUUCAUAGAAUUGUUCCAUAACAGGCCUAGAGUCAGUCAUCUUGUAACCUAUAAAGUUACUGACAAGAAACCCUAAAACUCAACCAAUAGAAGAGAUCCACAAGGAAAAAGGCGAUUUGGUUACGUCCAAAAGAUGAUAAUUGAGAUAGGUGUUGAUUCCCACACUCUACUUGCUCCCAUGUCCUUCUCCUCCAAGCCUUCUCCCUCCAAAGAUCCUCUUUUCAAGCUUCAAACACACAAUGGGCACAUACAUACACGUGUAUUAGGGUUCUCACGGACUCUCUAGAACUGUAAAGAGUCCCAAGGGAGGCUAAGGCUCCUUUAAAUAGGGGUGCAAACCCAGAGAUUUAGGGUUUCAUCUACCAGCUCCUACUCGCCGAGUCCCGAUAUGGACUCGUCGAGUAGGUCACUUAACACGCGAUCCCACCCUGCUGCUACUCGACGAGUAGAGCAACCAACUCGUUGAGUAGAGCUUAACCCAAUAAAUCUUAUUUAAAUAAUACCUGAGAAUCGAGGCGUUACAACUCUCCCCCACUUGAACUAGACUUCGCCCUCGAAGUCCGCUGGAAUAAACAAUGUUCGGUAAUGCCCGCGCAUCUCCGCCUCCAGCUCCCAUGUCCACUCGGAUCCCCUCCGAUGCUCCUACUGUACCUUUACUAAAGGUAUUUCCUUGUUCUGGAGAAUCUUCUUCUUCCUUUCCAAAAUAACCACAGGCUUCUCCACAUAGUUCAGGCGCUUAUCGACCUGAAUAUCAUCCAACGAUACCACUGCCUCCUGGUCCAUAAUGCAUUUUCGCAAUUGCGAAACAUGAAAUGUGUUGUGGAUCCGACUAAGCUCUUCCGGAAGCUCUAGCUUAUAAGCCUCCCUGCCAACCCUGGCAACAAUCCUGAAGGACCCAAUAUAAUGGGGACCCAAUUUUCCCCUUGUCCUGAAGCGGAUCACACCCUUCUAGGGUGAGACCUUCAGGAGAACCAUGUCGCCCACCUGAAAUUCCAACUCAGAUUGUGUGACAACCCGAAAUUUCCAUUUGUACGAACAUUAUCUAUCCAAUAGAAGCUAGUCCAGUUUCUGUGAUUUUCAUACUUUUCCGAAACAGUUUGUGUACAUUAGGGUUUAUGUUUAAGGUGAUAUCAGGAGAGUGGAUGCUCCUGGUUUUGUGAAAUUUGGGCAUUUCAAGUUUCAUACUGUUGCAGUCCUAUAUCGGGAAUAAAAAUAUUUUCUGCCAAAAUAUUCCAGGACUAUAAAUAGUUUUCUGAAUUAAAUUAAUUCAUUAUUCACAAUUCCAAAUAGAGAAAAGCCAUUUUCUCUCUGACGGAUCUUCGGGUUUUCAUCCCAUAUUGUGAGUCUACUUUACUAAAUGUGUUUCAAUACUUGUUAGAUGCUUAAUAACAUCAAUAACAUGUUUAGAUUACAAGAUCCGGGAGUUUACCGCCCAAGAACGUUCUUGGGGAGUAAACUCCAAAACGGAGCCUAAAGGCUUCCUAGUCCCGAUUCCUUGUUAGACAACUUGUUUAGGGGUUAGUGUAUAAACAUUUGGGACUAAAAAGCAACCAAGAAACACAAGAUCUUGGAGUUUACGGCCAAGGAACUUUCUUGGGCCGUAAACCCCUUUUCAAGGGCAUUUAGUGCCCUAAAUCACCCCUAAUGCUUAAGGACUUAAACCCUCAAAUGCUUGUGCCUAUUUUAGACAUCAAAACCCUUCAAAAUCAUAAGUUAAUAGGAGUUUAUGGCCAAGAACCUUUCUUGGGCCGUAAACCCCUUUUUUCUAGGGUAAAAAGCAUUCCAAACACCCCUAAGGCCUUAAGACAAUUUACCUUGAACACAUGGGACUUGAAUGGAGAACAAAAGACAUCAUAAUCACUCCUUAAAAGGAGUUUACGGCCAAGGAACAUAUCUUGGGCCGUAAACUCCAAGUGAAGGCACAAAUGUGUGCCUCUUGUCCCCAUUAGCCUUAGAUAAAAUCAUGGAAGCCAUCCUUGAUGUGUAAGUGCCUCAAAACAAUUAAAAGCCAUCACCCCAUAGGAGUUUACGGCCGUAAACUCUAGGGUAAAUGGACUUUAGGCCGUAAACUCCCCUAUGGAGCAUUCUAGGGCCUUAAACUACUUCAUGUGUUAUUCCAACAAAGCUAGGAGUGUACUAGGAUCAAGAUAACACUUUAAAACACCCAAAACCACCAUGUGAGGAGUUCACGGCCAUAAACCCAUGAGUUUACGGCCGUAAACUCCAAAGGGUGGGGUUUGUUGGGUGGUGAACUCUUAUGCAAGGCCAUUUGAUGUUUCAAACCCUUUUGCCUUGUCCCGUAGCAACUUAGAUGCAACCAUUUGGACCUUAAACACUUAUAAAAAGUGUUUACAUGUUCCUAAGUGUCUUAACUUAUUUAUUAAGUUAUUAUUUGUCUAAUUAGUUAUAUAUAUGCUUAUUAUAUGAUAACUAGGCUCGUGCGUGUAAACAAGUCUCCGUUUGCCACCUAGCACGGUAUCCGACACUGCAAUUCAAACGACUCACCACAAGUGAGUUCAUACCCCUUGAAUCAACCUUUGAAAUGAUUUUAAAUGUUUUAAAUACUUUAUGGGGGGGAAUACAAGUCAAAUACUUAUAGUUAUUGCUUCAAUCACAUGUGAUUGCAUUUAAUCACAUGUGAUUAAUAACUAGGAAAACAACGAUUUUUACCACUGUUCAAACUGUUUAUCAAACUGCUUUACUUUGAAAUGUUUUACAAACUCUUUUACUAUCCAAACUUAUUUAUAGACUGUGAUUUAAACAAAUGCUUCUUAUACUUAAACUGUUUUAUCAACUUAUGCCUUCAAAUUGUUUUAUAGAUCGACAUCAAGUCGAUCUUCUCUUGAAAUUAUAUUUAUGCUUCAAAUGUCUUAUGAAAACUUAUUUAUGCUUUUAUAUAUUCAAUUGCAUGCCCAUAUAUGUAUAGAUAUAUAAAUAAUGUUUAAAGGGCUUAGGAAGGCCAUCCGCCCUAUUUCCUUUUUCUCGAUUUGGAUGUGGUCUGGUGGGAUUUCGGGUGACCAUCCGAAGGUCGUUUCCAUAUUACUUAUAUAUCAUAUAUACAUGUAUAGACAUAAAAGUACUUCCAUAUUCAUACUUAUCAGUACAUCAAUAGUUAGUUACCAUCGGGGUAACACAGGAACAUAUACAGCUAUACUAGAAACAAGUACAUAUACAGCUAUACUAGAAACAAGUACAUAUACAGCUAUACUAGAAACAAGUACAUAUACAGCUAUACUAGAAACAAGUACAUAUACAGCUAUACUAGAAACAAGUACAUAUACAGCUAUACUAGAAACAAGUACAUAUACAGCUAUACUAGAAACAAGUACAUAUACAGCUAUACUAGAAACAAGUACAUAUACAGCUAUACUAGAAACAAGUACAUAUACAGCUAUACUAGAAACAAGUACAUAUACAGCUAUACUAGAAACAAGUACAUAUACAGCUAUACUAGAAACAAGUACAUAUACAGCUAUACUAGAACCAGAUACAUAUACAGUUAUACUAGAAAUGUGAACAUAUACUAGAAACAAGUACAUAUACAACUAUACUAGAAACAAGAACAUAUACAACUAUACUAGAAACAUGAACAUAUACAACUAUACUAGAAACAGAAACAUUACAUAUACAUGAAUACGUUAACAAUUGUGAUCCACUGUGUCGGAGCAUGCCUUAAAUGUCAUGGCCCGAGUUGUAGCCAGAAUUCUCUUGGAGGGAGAGCGUGAGUUUGCGUAUAGAUCUAUACUGGAUUGACUAUCCUACACCUUGCUGCUAGCUACAGCCGGACCUGCAGGUCUGCGGGUGCCAAACGUCAUUUUUUUUAUUACGACCAUUCAUUAUGUCGUUGUUACCAGUCGAUAGCAUGGUGCAAUUUAUCACAUUAUACCUUAAUAUAAAUCCGGUUUAAGGUAGUAGUAAUUAGUACAGUAGUAGUUCUUAUUAUACAAAACUACAGUACUACAAUGAUUUACCCAUUACAUAUUUUAGUGAUAACCUCACUUAAGCAUUAAUGUACAAACUAUAUUUUAUUAAAUGAUAGUUACACUUGGGAAAUUACACACUUUUACAACAAACGAGUAUACAAAACAGUUAAGCCUUGGUAGAAGGUUACUUUUAUAGAAAAUAUAGGAUUUUCUGAGAGAUUCAAACUUUUACAAACACUUUCAAACACUUACUUACAUUUUUACAAACUUAUACAUUGAGACAGGUUCAAACGUUUUGACAACAAACAUUGACACUAAAAUACUUAUGAACUCACCAGCUUAAUGCUGAUAAACUCUUUCAAAAUAACUUGUAUUCUCAGGUCAUCAGUAGACAGGUACCGAGGCCAGCUUUUGAGAAGAUGGAGUGCAUUCAAGACUCAUCUCAUAUUAUUUUGUUUUACAUUAUUUUGGUGUCUAUAACUGUACAGAACACACUUGUAUUAAAAUUAUAUAUUUAAUGCAAUGGAUGAUGUUGUUUGCUUAUUUACAUUUACUGUGUUGUGAUACUAUACAUGACGUCCUCCGCCCCAGAACGUUUCCGCCGUUCUUGGUUUUGGGGUGUGACAGAUUGGCGUCGGUCGGCAUAACUUUUCUACCGACUCUGAGCAGUCUGCAGUCGUUGUCUAAUCUGCUGCAUCGUCUCGGUAGUUUGCAGAACUACCUUUGUCAGACCCAUCACCCUGUGCCUAACCUCGCCCCAGCAGACUGGGGUCCUACACUUCCGCCCAUACAACAGCUCGCAAGGCGGGGCGCCAAUACUGGAAUGAUAGCUGUUAUUGUAGGCAAACUUUGCAAGCGGUAGGUGGGAAUCCCAACUCCCACCAAAAUCAAUGACGCACGCCCUCAACAUAUCCUCGAGGGUCUGAAUGGUCCACCCACUCUGCCCAUCAGUCUGCGGAUGGAACGCCGUGCUAAAAUGUAGUCGCGUACCCAGUUCCACAUGGAACUUCUGCCAAAAACUAGAAGUAAACAUGACAUCUCGAUCUGAAACGAUAGAAACUGGAAACCCAUGGUGAGAGACAAUCUCUCUGACGUACAGGUCAUCCAACUUCUCUGCCGACGAACUCUCCCGUAUGGCUAGGAAAUGGGCACUCUUGGUCAAUCAGUCCACGAUGACCCAUAUAGCAUCGAACCCCCUUGCCGUCUUCGGCAACUUCGUGAUGAAAUCCAUCGCGAUCCGUUCCCAUUUCCACAUGGGAAUCUCCAGAGUUUGCAACUCUCCAUGUGGCCUCUAAUGCUCGGCCUUGACCAUCCUACAAGUCAAGCACCUCUCAACAAACCAAGCGAUAUCUCGCUUCAUGCCAGGCCACCAAUAACUCGAACUCAAAUCACGGUACAUCUUGGUGGCUCCCGGGUGAAUAGAAAACCGAGACUUAUGAGCCUCCUCCAUCACUGUCUGUCGGACCCCUCUGGACAUCGGAACCCAACCCCGACCGUAACGGGUCAACAAUCGGCAGCUAUCCUGAACAAAACGGGCGCUUUUUCCCUUAAUCUUCUCGAACUUCCAGUUCACUGGUCUCAUACCCUCAAUCUGAGCAUCCCUGACCAAACCCACCAGCGGGGAAUCCACUGCUAUCCUCAUACACCUGGCUGGGGUUGUGGACCCAGCUGACUUCCGGCUCAGAGCAUCCGCAACGACGUUCGCUUUACCAGGAUGGUAAAGGAUCUCGCAAUCAUAGUCCUUGACCACAUCCAGCCACCUGCACUGCCUCAUGCUCAAGUUCGGUUGAUCCAUGAUGUGUCUCAAACUCUUGUGAUCUGUGUAUAUAGUGCAACGGACCCCGUACAGAUAGUGCCUCCAAUUCUUGAGAGCGAAGACCACCACUCCCAACUCAAGACCGUGUGUGGGGUAUCUCGUCUCAUGCGGCUUCAACUGUCACGAUGCAUAGGCUACCACCCGUCCUCUCUGCAUGAGGACUGCCCCCAAGCCUGUGAUGGAUGCAUCACAAAAUACCACAAAAUCCUCAAUUCCCUCGGGGAAUGUCAACACCGGUGCUUCACAUAAACAUUGCCAGAGGGUCUCAAAUUCCCUCUGCUGUUGAGGGCCCCACCGAAAAUCCACCCCUUCCUCGUUAGAUGAGUGAGGGUACGGUAAUCAUGGAGAAAUCACAAAUGAAUCUCCGAUAAUACCCUGCUAAACCCAAGAAACUCCUGAUGUCUGAGGGAGAUUUCGGAGUCUCCCACUGUAUAACCGCCUCCACCUUGGCCGGAUCGACAAAAAUCCCCUCCUGGUUAACGAGAUGUCCGAGGAACUGGACCUCUCGUAACCAAAACUCGCAUUUUGAUAACUUGGCAUAUAGCCGUUCUCACCUCAGAACCUCCAGCAGCUCCCAGAGAUGCUCCUCAUGCUGCUCUCGGGUCUUGGAAUACACCAAGAUAUCAUCUAUGAACACAAUGACCGAGCGAUCGAGCAUCGUUCUGCAAACUCCAUUCAUCAAAUCCAUGAACAUUGUUGGCACAUUGGUGAGCCCAAACGACAUCACCAUGAACUCGUAAUGACCAUAACAAGUCUGAAACGCGGUCUUCUCCACGUCUUCCUCCCUCACCCUGACCUGGUGGUAUCCUGGCCUCAAAUCAAUCAUGAAAAACCAAGAUGCACCCUGCAACUGAUCGAAAAGAUUGUCUAUCCUCGGGAGCGGAUAACGGUUCUUCACCGUUAACUUAUUCAGCUCCCUAUAGUCAAUACACAUCAUGUGCGAACCGUCCUUCUUCCUAAUGAAAAGGAUCGGUGCUCCCCAGGGUGAACUACUCGGACGAAUAAACUGCUUACCCAGCAGCUCUUGUAACUGAGAUGAUAACUCCUGCAUCUCAGGCGCUGCCAAACGGUAUGACGCCUUGGCGAUAGGGGCCGCACCUGGCACUAGAUCAAUCCUAAACUCAACCUGCCUUACCGGAGGCACUUCGGGUAACUCCUCCGGAAACACAUCAGCAAACUCUCUAACCACCAAGACCUCUAAAACUGAGAGCUGCUCUCUAACCCACGUAUCUACCACAUACGCCAAAUAACCGGAACACCCGUGUUGAAUAUACUGUCGAGCCCUGGCUUCCGAACAAAACCCUGAUCCCACCCUGGUGCCCUCACCAUAUACUACCAGUUCUCCCCCACUUGGGGAUCGAACCACCACCCGCUGUCCCUCACAGUCGAUCAUGGCACCAAAACGGCUAAGCCAAUCCAUCCCUACAAUCAUGCAUACAUCCCCCAUAGGGAUAGGAAUCAAAUCUAUUGGGAAAGACACACGGAAAAUCUCCAACUCGCAUCCCCGGUAGACCGAAGAAGCAGAAACCCCGUGCUCGUUGGCGAUCGAAACUCGCAACGGACACUCAAGAUCAUCUAUCGACACACUAAACCCUCUACUAAAAGUCUAAGAUACGAACCACCGACUCGCCCCCAAGUCAAAUAAAACCAAAGCAGGCAAAGAAUUUACUAGAAACGUACCUAAUCACAAGUAAAAUCCAUAAGCAUAACACAAAUACGAUAACUGACGACAGUCCCUAGCAUAGUGCCCCUCCUUGCCACAUUUGUGGCACCCACCACCUGCUCUACAAACUCCCGAAUGAACCCUGCCACACUUUACACAAGUGUACCUCUGCUGACCCCCAGACCGUGUAUCAGCGGUCUUAGACCGCUUAGGUGCCGGAUAAGACUGUGUCGAUGCCUGACGCUGCUCCUCCAGCCGCAACUCUAUCUCCAACUCACGCUGCCUCGCGACUUCCUGUAGAUCCAGGAGGAUAUCACAACGCUGUGUAGCCACAAACUGCCAUAUAUCCGUCUUGAGCAUACUCAGAUAACGAGCCAUCUAAGACUGCUCUGAUGCAAACUCCGGGCAAAACAUAGCCCUCUCAGUGAACAUCCAGGUAAUCUCCAUCACAGACUCCCCAUCCUGUCUCAAUGUCAAAAACUCCUGAGCAAGCCGCUCUCGUUCCACGUGCGGAACGUAGCGGGUGCGAAACAUAUCCCGGAACUGCUCCCAAGUAAUAGCAGCUCGUUGAUCAUCAGAAUAUGAACCUAUCGUCAAUCUCCAUCAUUCCUUUGCCCCGAGCCUAAGCAGGUUCAAAGCACACCUGACCUUCUGGUCAGCAGGACAGGAGCAUGUGAAGAAACAGCCCUCCACGUCAGACAACCAUCUCAUAGCUCUAAUCACAUCCCGUGUACCAUCAAAUGACGGGGGCAUCGUAUUAUCAAAGUUCCGGUACUGGAAAGCCCUGCCGGCUCCUCCUCCAACCCAUGCCGCAAUUACAGCCGAAGUGGCUACAGAGGCUGCUUCUCUGCCAAAGCUACAUAUCGCUCAUCAAAAUACACAACCAUCGCGGUCUUGAUCGACCCAAACAUCUCUGGUAGCUGCGCUCGGAAAGCCGGAGCGACCUCAUCGUGCAGAAUCUCUCGGAUCCUAGCAUCCAGCUCCUUAGUCCCUAUCUGAACCACGGGCUCAUGUGCCACUGGCACCUCUGACCCUCCGUCUCCUGACCCUGACCCUGAUCUGGAUCCGGAUCCUGAUCCGGACCCAGCAGUAAAACGUCUCGUCACCACCAUACUAAAAGGUACACUCAAGACAUCAGAUAAACAACAUAAUGUCAGGAGACCAAAACCCACAAACCCUAGGGGUUGUGAUUUCCUUGCUACGCGUAUGGGUCCUGUGCUUUUAGUAGUACGAGCCCAUACCACCUUCCCCACCUACCCAUAUUUGUCUCAAGUAUCACCACAACGCCAUAACAAUAUCAUCAACAUAGAAAUGCGCUCAACCCUCACUUCUAGAGGAAUACCAAUUAUCUCGCAUCUAGUCUCACCACUUCUCAUGACACACAUACCCAUGAAACUUCCAUCAUCCCCUGCAGCGCUAGUGCAUGCUAGUUGCACAUAACGUUGGACCCAAUAGACUUUCGAAUAUCCAUUCCUACCUGAAGGCCGAAUCAACAUUCUCAGGCUAUAAGGUCUUUAUUAUGCACAGCCGUGAUGCCUACACUAAACAUCUACAGUUAUGAUGUCAAUUCCAUAUACAAGAAACCCUAGGCUAAUAGGCAUCAUAUAAUCAGGCAAAUCUACCAUGCGAUCCCUGAAGAUCCCUAGCCUAGCACUAGCAUGCUGUCCUAACAUAUCAAAAUAUCAAAUAACUGUAUGGUAUUUUAGGGUUUACUUACUGGCUCCGGCUGAUCGUACCCUCUACAUCCUCCAUCCUUUAUUUUGAAAACCAAUAUUUUUAAACUUACUUUUCGAAAAUCUCCUUGAUUUGAGAUUGGAUUCACACGAGUGUUCCUCCAAUUCACUCAAACCAAGGCUCUGAUACCAACUUGUAACAUCCAUAAAUUUUACGCCAAAUUUAAACUUUUCAAUCAUAAAUAAAAAUCAAAUAGCAUUGUUUACAAAAAUGUUUUCAAAUCAAUAUCCAUCAGAGUGUCCCAAAAUCAUAUCAUAAGGAUGAGGAGCGGUACGGUCAUGCCUUCGCCUUGCCAAGAUAUCUUGAAGUACUUGAAACAAUAAACUGAAAACUGUAAGCCUGAGGGCUUAGUGAGCUACACCUAAAAUACCAAUACCACACUGACAACGCCAUAUUAGUAACAAUCAAUCAAUCAAUCAAUCAACAUGCAUACUGGGCCAUCGGCCUGACCGGACCGCCCUACUGGGCCUAAUAUCUAUCUGAAUCUAUCCCGAGCCUUUGGCAUGACUGGUCCGCCACGUGGGCCUGCAGUCUCCCCGAACCGCUCAUAGGGUAUGUUGGCCUUCAGCACAAAGCAGGACCGCCUCAACCCAACCAACAAGCAAAUAACCAUGUGCACAUAACUUGAUGGGUUUUGGUCAUAAGACAUCCUAUGUGCUCAUACAAACCCUAAUGCUUGGAUCUAGGUUUCUCUAUUGUACAUGCUUUGAAUCCAAGACUAUAAACCCUAAUUCUAGCAUACAAGUAAUUAUAUUAGAUAUUAGAAUAGGUUUAUAAUGUUACCUUGAUUGUUAUGUAGCAAUAACAAUCCCAAUUCCUCCUUGAAUUGACUUUGGAAGGCUUAGAGUCACAAGUGUCACUCCUCUAAUGGUUCACAAACACCAUAAGCAAGAGGAUGAAGAGGAGAGAGGAUGGAGGCUGCCCAAAACGUGUUCUAACCCUAGAAAAGAAGUUCCCCACGUUUUUGAGCCUUAAGGGUUCUAUAUAUAGUGAGGCUAUUAGGGUUAUCUAACAAGGAAACCCUAAUUUGGUUGCUUAAGCCCUAAGCAACCCAUGGACUCAUUUAAUCAAGCCCUUGGACGAUUUCCUUAUGGGCUUCCCAUAAGAAUUCGUCCACCUCUUGAUUUAAGACAAUCCAUGGCCCAAAUUGCAAUUAUCUUAUAAUUACAAUUCCAGUCCCUUAAGUUUAAUUAAUCUCUUUUAGUCACAAAACUAAUUACCAAUUAAUUAUUGACUAAUAUUAAUUAAACAAUAUGAUUUCUCCUUUAAUAUAUUAUUCUCAUAAUAUAUUAAUAAAUCAUAUUUAAUCCUUUCUCUCCAUAAUUCAUCCUAUCAAGUUGCUUUGGUGAAGGCAACCCAAAAGGACCAUGCACCAUCGGGUCAAGUACAUACCAAAAUAGUUAUGGACUUAGACACUAAUCCAACAGUCUCCCACUUGGAUAAGUCUAAUAACUAUUCUGCGUAUGACUUCAGAUCCUGAUCUGCAAUCGUAGCUUUCCAAAGCCGCUGUCAACUCUGAUCCUAUCAGAUACGCGUGUCCUUAGAUAAGGGAUCAUAUAUUCCUCCAUUCUAGAUAUCAUAUGAGAUAUGAUUUCAAAUCAUUCUCUUUGUACUAUAUCUCGAUUUCCGAUUUAUGACGACUGACUAAUUGAACAAAUCAAAUUAGCCCUAGCCCGGCCGAGCAUUUACGUUUGUCAUCACUAAAUCAUCGAGGGGCCCAAAGAUAUCGCUUUUAUCCUACUUUGGAUAAAAGGAACGGAUAAACUUUGAUACAAUGCUUGCUUGCACUCACUCACCGAAUCACACACAACAAUAUGUUUUAUAACACCAAGUUACUAGUGCGUUUACAUAUUAUCAAUGUGCAACCGAUUUGCAAGAUACAACUCACACAUCUCGGUUUCAAGAAUAUAAGAUGUUAUCGUCUCACCAAUCACUCGUGAUACAAUUCAUGGAGUGAUCCAAGUGAGCGUGGGUUUAAUCCAAUGCUCAAAUCAUAUUCAUAAGCACUCAUGAACGUUGCAGCAAACAUUUGCUUAUGUCUAAUACUCUUUAGACAAUCCACACACCAAUUCACGACAGUCUUCAUUCAUACCUACUUCCAACAUAUGAACGACUGUGGCCCGUUCGAAUAAUUUGACUGUUCUUAACCAAUUAAAUUAUUCAGGAAGUCAAAACAUGCAAAGUGAAACACAAGAAUAAUACUAAUCCCAUAUGGCCUCAAACCUUUGAGUAUAAAUAAAACACCUUUUAUUUAUCACCAUAUCGAUUACUCAUUAUUUGUCGUUUCGGGUAAUCAACUUCUUACUUGAAUUAUUACACUUGUCCCAUGCUCCUAGCAUGCACACAAUGUUUACCUAUGGUUCUUACUUUGUGAAAUAGAUCAAAUUGAACACAUUUCCAAUCAUUCUCAUUUCACAACUCCAAAUCCUUUUUCAUAAGUGAAAGAAUAUCAAAUUCUUGCUACUUAUAGAAUAUGCUAGAUUCUAACAUUUUAUGCAAUGAUCCCUUCGUAAUGUCACUGCACCAAAGUCACAAAGACUAUUGCCAAUGAUAUUACAAAGUCCUCUAUCGGAGAUUGUUACAAGACAAUUCCUUAGAUAUGAUGUCUCUCACUCAAAGUACAUUCCUUUGAACAUCCUUUUGCAUAAAAGUUUCUAAUCUAGACAUAGAUUUUCAAUAUUCAAUUCCCAAUAUGGACACGUUUCCAUAUUUUCCAUAUGACAACUCAUUCUUAAUAGAAUCUUAUCUAUUCAUAAUAAUGUCGAUAUGGUCCAUCCAAUAUGGAAACAUUUCCAUAUUUUCCAAUACUAUACUUCCAACUACUCACAAGCGACCAAUCCUCGUCGAACUUUGGAUUGUCCUUUGAUAGUUGUUUAAUUAUUUUAGUCAAAACCGAUUCUAGUCCUUUUUCCCUCUAAAUGCGCUAGACAUUUGGAAAAUUUUAGAAUGGUCAAACAUUAAAGCAUUUGCAAUCGAUCCUAUACCCGAAGCGUAUGGGACACGACGCAUAAUGUUUUAUUUGCUAUGUUCUCAAAAUUCGAAUUGUGAAGAGGGAUGCCGUAAUCAUAAUCGAAAUUUUAAGAACACACUAUGUACCUUUGACUAAAUUUUAUUAACAUUUCUCAACCUAAACCUUUAGAUUUGAAAUGAAGCAUAAUAUUCUCUCCCUUAAUUAUAGCAAAACAACUUUUCAACUAUUGCGACUUUGCAAAGUAUGACUCUUGUUUUCUAUAAUUAAUAUUGCUAACCUUGCAAUACUUUCCUUAAUAAUCAUACAAUCAUAACAUUUAUGCUCCCACUAUCAUGAUGAUUAUUAUAAAACAUAACACUUAUGCUCCCACUAGCUUCGACAUGUAUUCAUAAACAUCUUAACUUUCAGAAAAACAAUGCUUAUUGAAUUUCUUAAGUUCAUGUUUCUAAUACUUAGUGCUUUGAUAAUCUUUUAUCAAGGCUUCUUGAACUUAUACACCUUUGCCUUCGAUAGUUCAUAUGUGUGUCUAAACAAUUAAGACUAAUUGCCAAACCUCACAAUUCAAAUUAUGGAAAGGGAUGCCGUAACCAUAAUUGAAUUCGAGAAUGCAAUUUUACAAUCACUAUCUUCUUAAAAUCUUUCUUAGUGAAAGCAUUUCCUCACAAUCAUUUUCAUGAAGGAGGAAAUCUUAUGACACUUAGAUUUAAACGGUGUAUGUGUUCCUAUCCAUGUGAAUUUGUUAAAACCAAAGUUUACGACAAAUUCAAACUCAUAUGGACCGAACUUUCUUAAUCUUGAUUUCUUGCCUUAUGGUAGCACAGCUGCCCACCAUGUCUUCCAAGUAGUUAAGCAGCUCACCCUUUCCUAUCAAUGUACCUUUCAUUGAUUAAGGUGCUUUGCCUUUUAUGCGUUCAAAAUGAGAACUCAUAGAACUCACAUGCAUAAUUAACUCGAUUGGAUUGGCACAGAAUCAAAAUAAUGUCAACACGAUAGGUUGUAAACCUCAACUCGUGUGCUAGUGAUGAUCGAUAAGGUUUAUUUGAUUUGUUCUUGAAACCUUUCAAGACCAUUAAGACUCCCACUGACUCCUUGACAUAUAAGAUUCUCUUGUCAAUAACCAUUUCUUGACAAACAAAUAUUCAAGAGUUAGUGUAGCUUUUAUCAAAACACUUCAUAAAUUGGUCCUAGUUGGUCUUUGUCUUAUCCAAGACAUCACAACUUUCCACAUUUAAUGAAUGUUAUAAACCUUCUUAAUACUUAUCACUCAAUGUCACAAUCUUAACUCUAAGACUUGUUUUGGAACGAAGUAUGAUUGACUUCUUGAUUUAACCAUUUCUUCAAUUCUUGAUUCCUCUUCUUAGACAUACAAUUGUACUAAGACUCACUUAGAGGAUCAAUUGAGAUAUGGUUCUUAAUCAUUAAGACCUAUCAUAAAGCAUAAAAGGUACUCUCCCUUCUUCUUAGAAUGGAGAAACUUUUAUCUUUCUGCCUACUUGAUUCUUCUUAUUCGUUCUGCUAUUGAUUUAAACCUUUUCAAUCAAUUCAGAAUUACACUUAAUCUUAUAAGUAUAAUCAUAUUUACUAAACCUUUAGUAAAUCAUGACGAAUAUCUUUGUUACUCUUAUGGUGGACUUGAUCAACACGCAACUUUGUGUACUCGAUCUCCUAGUCCUUCACUUGACACUUUGUCAAUGAAUUAGUCUAAUUUCCAAAUAUGAAAUUUCUCAUUCAUCGUGCAACCAAGUUGCAUGAUUCCAAGUUUCUGUCCAAUUGAAACUUGGGCGAUGAGAAACUCUCCCUAUUUGGUAAAUUCUCGACUUUCCAUAAAUAACAUAAUAAGAACCAAAUCCAUUAUUGCUAAUAAUAGAAACAUUUUAACAUCAAUUUUUCAUACACGCCAUUGUAAGGAUAAAUAAAUAAAAUUUAAAAUCAAAAUUUAUUUUAUUGCGGAAAAAUUUGUCCUUACAAUGCAAUUCAUUGAAAAACUAUGCUAAUACAUCUUUCUUAGCAAUCUAAUUCUAACUCUAAGUAGUAGCUCAAGAAUCUAAUCUUCGAGAAAUGCGAUCGAAAUCCAUUCCUUCACGGUUAGAUUCUGCUCACUUCUUCCCUUAAGCUUCCUUUCUUUUCUUCGAUCCUACAAAACAUCAAUUGUAAUCUUAUCACAUUAUGUAUUAAGAAUCUAGAAUAGAAGCUUAAAAGAGUUAGUUAAUGGAUUUUACCUAUAUUAGAGCCAUACGUUUCGACUCUCCCAUCUCUUAGAUCUCUUAGGUAAAUGGGGCAGCUUCGUCUCCAAUGCCCUUUCUCUUGGCAAUAAAAGCAAAUUGACUCUUUUGGAACAUGACAUGGAACUACUUCAGACAUUGCCUUUCUCUUAUGAUCAAACUUUUCGAUCAUAGCAUGUCUUUCGUUGCCAUUGUCUAUAUCCAUAGAGGUCUUGAAGGCAGAUUCACCAAUCAACUUUGCUUUUCUAUUGCGCCAAACCAUUGCUGAUUCAGCAGCAAUAAGCAUAUAGGUGAGAUCUAUAAGGGUCACGUCGCGGUUCAUCAUAUAGUACUCUCUUACGAACUCACUAUAUGAGUUAGGAAGUGACUGAAGAACCCAAUCAACAGCCAUUUCCUCACAGACAACGGAUCCCAACAUUCUUAACCUAUCAAUGUGUGACUUCAUCCCUAGGACGUGUGCACACACCGACUUUCCUUCUUUAUGUUUACUUGCCAAAAGGGCUUGAGUGAUCUUGAACUUUUCAAGCCUUUGAACUUGUGGGUUAGGGAGAAUAAUUGGAGGAGGUGGAGGAAGUGAAGCAUGAUUUCUUGUUCCUCGAUCGAAUCGUGGAAUAUCAUCUUCAUGUGGAAUGCUUGUUCCACGGGAUUUGGGAAGACCAUAGUUGUCGAACUUUGACAUCUACAAAACGGGAGAAAAAGAAUUCAAGUUAGUUGAUUGAUUGAGUCCUUAGUAAAUCACCCAAAUGAGAUACUAAGGCUAGGACCCAACACAAUAUUCUACAACUCGGGAGAGGGAUGCCGUAACCCAAAUUGCAGAACAUUUGAAGGUAAGUGAAUGACGAUUCACUAAUUUCCACCAUGAAAAACGAAAAAGAAAUUUAAGUUUUAAAUCUAUGAAAACUCCUAGAUCCUUUGAGAUUCAUUGAACAUUUCAAUGGCAUGUUUAAAUCUCGAUAUGCCCCUCUUGUUUGUGACUGGGAUGCCGAGGAUCACAAAGCGGGUGUGAAUAACCAUGCAAACUUACAUGGUGCCCUCACAUGUUACAGUCACCUAUUCGAUGUGCCGGUAAACCACACACGCUCCACCGAACUAUGACAAACAUUGAGUCACCCUUUGCUACCUUUGCUUAGAACCAUUUAGUGUGCCGGUAAACCACACACGCUCCACUAACGUCUUCGCAAGGGCACAAAGUGUAAUUUCAUGGAAUUGCAUCAAUUCACUUUUGCCUAAGUAACUAAGAUUGGGAAUUUUAUGAAAACAUUUAGUUACUUUUAUACUUCAUUAUACUUAUAAUGGAAGGUUUCGUCCUAUCCUACCCGUUCGGCUAACGACCCUCCACUAGUCAAGAGUGCGGUGGGUAAGAGUGGAUACCCAUUCAAUCGCCAUUUUAUAGGCAAUUUCCUUAAACACCCCUUAUAGACCAGCUUCGUGAAUGAGGCCUACUAACGGUAAGACUGACUUUUACUCAUACAUAUAUAUAAUGUUAGACUUUUAAUGUUAUAUAUAGUAUAGGGUGUAUUUUACACUUUUAAAAUACUAGGUGGUCAAAUUUAACAAUUAUACUUUUAAUUCAAUUAAAUUGUAAACCUAAACUUUUAUGGAUUUAUUAAACCUCUUUUAAUUAUACACCUUAAUUAAUUAAUAAAACCAUAAGGGUGUGAUUUGAACUUUUUCAAAACUAUACUAGAGUUUUAGAAUUUAACAUUCCUAAUUAAACUUUUAAUCAACUUUUAAAUUCCAAAACUUGAGGGCAAGUUUUGAAACAUUUCAACACAUUAGGGUUUAGAAUUUAAAUAUACAUCAAAAUUAAACUAUUUAAUCAAAAUUUAAAUUCCAAAACUUGAGGGCAAGUUUUGAAACCUUUUUCAAAACAUUAGGGUUUCAACUAUUUAAAUUUCAAAACAACAAAACUUUUGGGUUCAAAUUUAAACUAUAAAACCUAAGGGGAAAAUAUGAAACUUUUCAUAACAACAAGGAUCAAAUAACAAAUAAUCUAAAUUAACAUUUAAUCACAUAAUUAUCCAUAUUUGAUUUAUUUAAUGAUUUCUUGCAAAACAAUUUAUCAAUUUAGUCAAAAUAAUUAAUCAAUUAUCACAUAAGGAAACAAUUAUCUUAUUAAUUGAUAAAUAUCUUCAAUUAGAUCAAAAAUAUAGUCAAAUAUAUCAUAAAAUCGGAUUAAUAUUGAUCUAACAUGAUAAGGUAACUAUCCAUAAGCAAAAACAGCAAGAAAUCCCGAAAUACCCUCCAUCUGACGAGUUGACUCGUCGAGUCAGGCUUGGACUCGUCGAGUCUGCAUGGACUCGGCGAGUUCAGCUAUGGACUCGGCGAGUCCAGCCUCCAGAACAUCAAAAAUCGAAUUUUUUGAACAUGUAAUGCAUCAAUACAAUUGAAACCAGUCUAGGCUCUGAUACCACUGAUGGGUUUUGGUCAUAAGACAUCCUAUGUGCUCAUACAAACCCUAAUGCUUGGAUCUAGGUUUCUCUAUUGUACAUGCUUUGAAUCCAAGACUAUAAACCCUAAUUCUAGCAUAUGGAAAUCAAUAUUAACAUAUAAUUAGGUUUAAGAUAUUACCUUGAUUGUUAUGUAGUAAUAACAAUCCCAAUUCCUCCUUGAAUUGACUUUGGAAGGCUUAGAGUCACAAGUGUCACUCCUCUAAUGGCUUACAAACACCAUAAGCAAGAGGAUGAAGAGGAGAGAGGAUGGAGGCUGCCCAAAACGUGUUCUAACCCUAGAAAAGAAGUUCCCCACGUUUUUGAGCCUUAAGGGUUCUAUAUAUAGUGAGGCUAUUAGGGUUAUCUAACAAGGAAACCCUAAUUUGGUUGCUUAAGCCCUAAGCAACCCAUAGACUCCUUUAAUCAAGCCCAUGGACGAUUUCCUUAUGGGUUUCCCCAUAGAAUUCGUCCACCUCUUGAUUCAAGGCAAUCCAUGGCCCAAAUUGCAAUUAUCUUAUAAUUACAAUUCCAGUCCCUUAAGUUUAAUUAAUCUCUUUUAGUCACAAAACUAAUUACCAAUUAAUUAUUGACUAAUAUUAAUUAAACAAUAUGAUUUCUCCUUUAAUAUAUUAUUCUCAUAAUAUAUUAAUAAAUCAUAUUUAAUCCUUUCUCUCCAUAAUUCAUCCUAUCAAGUUGCUUUGGUGAAGGCAACCCAAAAGGACCAUGCACCAUCGGGUCAAGUACAUACCAAAAUAGUUAUGGACUUAGACACUAAUCCAACAGUCUCCCACUUGGAUAAGUCUAAUAACUAUUAUGCGUAUGACUUCAGAUCCUGAUCUGCAAUCGUAGCUUUCCAAAGCCGCUGUCAACUCUGAUCCUAUCAGAUACGCGUGUCCUUAGAUAAGGGAUCAUAUAUUCCUCCAUUCUAGAUAUCAUAUGAGAUAUGAUUUCAAAUCAUUCUCUUUGUACUAUAUCUCGAUUUCCGAUUUAUGACGACUGACUAAUUGAACAAAUCAAAUUAGCCCUAGCCCGGCCGAGCAUUUACGUUUGUCAUCACUAAAUCAUCGAGGGGCCCAAAGAUAUCGCUUUUAUCCUACUUUGGAUAAAAGGAACGGAUAAACUUUGAUACAAUGCUUGCUUGCACUCACUCACCGAAUCACACACAACAAUAUGUUUUAUAACACCAAGUUACUAGUGCGUUUACAUAUUAUCAAUGUGCAACCGAUUUGCAAGAUACAACUCACACAUCUCGGUUUCAAGAAUAUAAGAUGUUAUCGUCUCACCAAUCACUCGUGAUACAAUUCAUGGAGUGAUCCAAGUGAGCGUGGGUUUAAUCCAAUGCUCAAAUCAUAUUCAUAAGCACUCAUGAACGUUGCAGCAAACAUUUGCUUAUGUCUAAUACUCUUUAGACAAUCCACACACCAAUUCACGACAGUCUUCAUUCAUAUCUACUUCCAACAUAUGAACGACUGUGGCCCGUUCGAAUAAUUCGAUUAUUCUUAAUAAACUCAAUUAUUCUGGAAGUCAAAACAUGCAAAUGUGAAACACAAGAAUAAUACUAAUCCCAUAUGGCCUCAAACCUUUGAGUAUAAAUAAAACACCUUUUAUUUAUCACCAUAUCGAUUACUCAUUAUUUGUCGUUUCGGGUAAUCAACUUCUUACUUGAAUUAUUACACUUGUCCCAUGCUCCUAGCAUGCACACAAUGUUUACCUAUGGUUCUUACUUUGUGAAAUAGAUCAAAUUGAACACAUUUCCAAUCAUUCUCAUUUCACAACUCCAAAUCCUUUUUCAUAAGUGAAAGAAUAUCAAAUUCUUGCUACUUAUAGAAUAUGCUAGAUUCUAACAUUCUAUGCAACUAUCCUUUCGUAAUGUCACUGCACCAAAGUCACAAAGACUAUUGCCAAUGAUAUUACAAAGUCCUCUAUCGGAGAUUGUUACAAGACAAUUCCUUAGAUAUGAUGUCUCUCACUCAAAGUACAUUCCUUUGAACAUCCUUUUGCAUAAAAGUUUCUAAUCUAGACAUAGAUUUUCAAUAUUCAAUUCCCAAUAUGGACACGUUUCCAUAUUUUCCAUAUGACAACUCAUUCUUAAUAGAAUCUUAUCUAUUCGUAAUGAUGUCGAUAUGGUCCAUCCAAUAUGGAAACAUUUCCAUAUUUUCCAAUACUAUACUUCCAACUACUCACAAGCGACCAAUCCUCGUCGAACUUUGGAUUGUCCUUUGAUAGUUGUUUAAUUAUUUUAGUCAAAACCGAUUCUAGUCCUUUUUCCCUCUAAAUGCGCUAGACAUUUGGAAAAUUUUAGAAUGGUCAAACAUUAAAGCAUUUGCAAUCGAUCCUAUACCCGAAGCGUAUGGGACACGACGCAUAAUGUUUUAUUUGCUAUGUUCUCAAAAUUCGAAUUGUGAAGAGGAAUGCCGUAAUCAUAAUCGAAAUUUUAAGAACACACUAUGUACCUUUGACUAAAUUUAUUAACAUUUCUCAACCUAAUCCUUUAGAUUUGAAAUGAAGCAUAAUAUUCUCUCCCUUAAUUAUAGCAAAACAACUUUUCAACUCUUACAACUUUGCAAAGUAUGACUCUUGUUUUCUAUAAUUAAUAUUGCUAACCUUGCAAUACUUUCCUUAAUAAUCAUACAAUCAUAACAUUUAUGCUCCCACUAUCAUGAUGAUUAUUAUAAAACAUAACACUUAUGCUCCCACUAGCUUCGACAUGUAUUCAUAAACAUCUUAACUUUCAGAAAACCAAUGCUUAUUGAAUUUCUUAAGUUCAUGUUUCUAAUACUUAGUGCUUUGAUAAUCUUUUAUCAAGGCUUCUUGAACUUAUACACCUUUGCCUUCGAUAGUUCAUAUGUGUGUCUAAACAAUUAAGACUAAUUGCCAAACCUCACAAUUCAAAUUAUGGAAAGGGAUGCCGUAACCAUAAUUGAAUUCGAGAAUGCAAUUUUACAAUCACUAUCUUCUUAAAAUCUUUCUUAGUGAAAGCAUUUCCUCACAAUCAUUUUCAUGAAGGAGGAAAUCUUAUGACACUUAGAUUUAAACGGUGUAUGUGUUCCUAUCCAUGUGAAUUUGUUAAAACCAAAGUUUACGACAAAUUCAAACUCAUAUGGACCGAACUUUCUUAAUCUUGAUUUCUUGCCUUAUGGUAGCACAGCUGCCCACCAUGUCUUCCAAGUAGUUAAGCAGCUCACCCUUUCCUAUCAAUGUACCUUUCAUUGAUUAAGGUGCUUUGCCUUUUAUGCGUUCAAAAUGAGAACUCAUAGAACUCACAUGCAUAAUUAACUCGAUUGGAUUGGCACAGAAUCAAAAUAAUGUCAACACGAUAGGUUGUAAACCUCAACUCGUGUGCUAGUGAUGAUCGAUAAGGUUUAUUUGAUUUGUUCUUGAAACCUUUCAAGACCAUUAAGACUCCCACUGACUCCUUGACAUAUAAGAUUCUCUUGUCAAUAACCAUUUCUUGACAAACAAAUAUUCAAGAGUUAGUGUAGCUUUUAUCAAAACACUUCAUAAAUUGGUCCUAGUUGGUCUUUGUCUUAUCCAAGACAUCACAACUUUCCACAUUUAAUGAAAGUUACAAACCUUCUUAAUACCUUUCACUCAAUGUCACAAUCUUAACUUUAAGACUUGUUAUUGGAACGAAGUAUGAUUGACUUAUUGAUUUAACCAUUUCUUCAAUUCUUGAUUCCUCUUCUUAGACAUACAAUUGUACUAAGACUCACUUAGAGGAUCAAUUGAGAUAUGGUUCUUAAUCAUUAAGACCUAUCAUAAAGCAUAAAAGGUACUCUCCCUUCUUCUUAGAAUGGAGAAACUUUUAUCUUUCUGCCUACUUGAUUCUUCUUAUUCGUUCUGCUAUUGAUUUAAACCUUUUCAAUCAAUUCAGAAUUACACUUAAUCUUAUAAGUAUAAUCAUAUUUACUAAACCUUUAGUAAAUCAUGACGAAUAUCUUUGUUACUCUUAUGGUGGACUUGAUCAACACGCAACUUUGUGUACUCGAUCUCCUAGUCCUUCACUUGACACUUUGUCAAUGAAUUAGUCUAAUUUCCAAAUAUGAAAUUUCUCAUUCAUCGUGCAACCAAGUUGCAUGAUUCCAAGUUUCUGUCCAAUUGAAACUUGGGCGAUGAGAAACUCUCCCUAUUUGGUAAAUUCUCGACUUUCCAUAAAUAACAUAAUAAGAACCAAAUCCAUUAUUGCUAAUAAUAGAAACAUUUUAACAUCAAUUUUUCAUACACGCCAUUGUAAGGAUAAAUAAAUAAAAUUUAAAAUCAAAAUUUAUUUUAUUGCGGAAAAAUUUGUCCUUACAAUGCAAUUCAUUGAAAAACUUAUGCUAAUACAUCUUUCUUAGCAAUCUAAUUCUAACUCUAAGUAGUAGCUCAAGAAUCUAAUCUUCGAGAAAUGCGAUCGAAAUCCAUUCCUUCACGGUUAGAUUCUGCUCACUUCUUCCCUUAAGCUUCCUUUCUUUUCUUCGAUCCUACAAAACAUCAAUUGUAAUCUUAUCACAUUAUGUAUUAAGAAUCUAGAAUAGAAGCUUAAAAGAGUUAGUUAAUGGAUUUUACCUAUAUUAGAGCCAUACGUUUCGACUCUCCCAUCUCUUAGAUCUCUUAGGUAAAUGGGGCAGCUUCGUCUCCAAUGCCCUUUCUCUUGGCAAUAAAAGCAAAUUGACUCUUUUGGAACAUGACAUGGAACUACUUCAGACAUUGCCUUUCUCUUAUGAUCAAACUUUUCGAUCAUAGCAUGUCUUUCGUUGCCAUUGUCUAUAUCCAUAGAGGUCUUGAAGGCAGAUUCACCAAUCAACUUUGCUUUUCUAUUGCGCCAAACCAUUGCUGAUUCAGCAGCAAUAAGCAUAUAGGUGAGAUCUAUAAGGGUCACGUCGCGGUUCAUCAUAUAGUACUCUCUUACGAACUCACUAUAUGAGUUAGGAAGUGACUGAAGAACCCAAUCAACAGCCAUUUCCUCACAGACAACGGAUCCCAACAUUCUUAACCUAUCAAUGUGUGACUUCAUCCCUAGGACGUGUGCACACACCGACUUUCCUUCUUUAUGUUUACUUGCCAAAAGGGCUUGAGUGAUCUUGAACUUUUCAAGCCUUUGAACUUGUGGGUUAGGGAGAAUAAUUGGAGGAGGUGGAGGAAGUGAAGCAUGAUUUCUUGUUCCUCGAUCGAAUCGUGGAAUAUCAUCUUCAUGUGGAAUGCUUGUUCCACGGGAUUUGGGAAGACCAUAGUUGUCGAACUUUGACAUCUACAAAACGGGAGAAAACGAAUUCAAGUUAGUUGAUUGAUUGAGUCCUUAGUAAAUCACCCAAAUGAGAUACUAAGGCUAGGACCCAACACAAUAUUCUACAACUCGGGAGAGGGAUGCCGUAACCCAAAUUGCAGAACAUUUGAAGGUAAGUGAAUGACGAUUCACUAAUUUCCACCAUGAAAAACGAAAAAGAAAUUUAAGUUUUAAAUCUAUGAAAACUCCUAGAUCCUUUGAGAUUCAUUGAACAUUUCAAUGGCAUGUUUAAAUCUCGAUAUGCCCCUCUUGUUUGUGACUGGGAUGCCGAGGAUCACAAAGCGGGUGUGAAUAACCAUGCAAACUUACAUGGUGCCCUCACAUGUUACAGUCACCUAUUCGAUGUGCCGGUAAACCACACACGCUCCACCGAACUAUGACAAACAUUGAGUCACCCUUUGCUACCUUUGCUUAGAACCAUUUAGUGUGCCGGUAAACCACACACGCUCCACUAACGUCUUCGCAAGGGCACAAAGUGUAAUUUCAUGGAAUUGCAUCAAUUCACUUUUGCCUAAGUAACUAAGAUUGGGAAUUUUAUGAAAACAUUUAGUUACUUUUAUACUUCAUUAUACUUAUAAUGGAAGGUUUCGUCCUAUCCUACCCGUUCGGCUAACGACCCUCCACUAGUCAAGAGUGCGGUGGGUAAGAGUGGAUACCCAUUCAAUCGCCAUUUUAUAGGCAAUUUCCUUAAACACCCCUUAUAGACCAGCUUCGUGAAUGAGGCCUACUAACGGUAAGACUGACUUUUACUCAUACAUAUAUAUAAUGUUAGACUUUUAAUGUUAUAUAUAGUAUAGGGUGUAUUUUACACUUUUAAAAUACUAGGUGGUCAAAUUUAACAAUUAUACUUUUAAUUCAAUUAAAUUGUAAACCUAAACUUUUAUGGAUUUAUUAAACCUCUUUUAAUUAUACACCUUAAUUAAUUAAUAAAACCAUAAGGGUGUGAUUUGAACUUUUUCAAAACUAUACUAGAGUUUUAGAAUUUAACAUUCCUAAUUAAACUUUUAAUCAACUUUUAAAUUCCAAAACUUGAGGGCAAGUUUUGAAACAUUUCAACACAUUAGGGUUUAGAAUUUAAAUAUACAUCAAAAUUAAACUAUUUAAUCAAAAUUUAAAUUCCAAAACUUGAGGGCAAGUUUUGAAACCUUUUUCAAAACAUUAGGGUUUCAACUAUUUAAAUUUCAAAACAACAAAACUUUUGGGUUCAAAUUUAAACUAUAAAACCUAAAGGGGAAAAUAUGAAACUUUUCAUAACAACAAGGAUCAAAUAACAAAUAAUUUAAAUUAACAUUUAAUCACAUAAUUAUCCAUAUUUGAUUUAUUUAAUGAUUUCUUGCAAAACAAUUUAUCAAUUUAGUCAAAAUAAUUAAUCAAUUAUCACAUAAGGAAACAAUUAUCUUAUUAAUUGAUAAAUAUCUUCAAUUAGAUCAAAAAUAUAGUCAAAUAUAUCAUAAAAUCGGAUUAAUAUUGAUCUAAUAUGAUAAGGUAACUAUCCAUAAGCAAAAACAGCAAGAAAUCCCGAAGUACCCUCCAUCUGACGAGUUGACUCGUCGAGUCAGGCUUGGACUCGUCGAGUCUGCAUGGACUCGGCGAGUUCAGCUAUGGACUCGGCGAGUCCAGCCUCCAGAACACCAAAAAUCGAAUUUUUCAGAUAUACAAUGCAUCAAUACAAUUGAAACCAAGCUAGGCUCUGAUACCACUGAUGGGUUUUGGUCAUAAGACAUCCUAUGUGCUCAUACAAACCCUAAUGCUUGGAUCUAGGUUUCUCUAUUGUACAUGCUUUGAAUCCAAGACUAUAAACCCUAAUUCUAGCAUAUGGAAAUCAAUAUUAACAUAUAAUUAGGUUUAAGAUAUUACCUUGAUUGUUAUGUAGCAAUAACAAUCCCAAUUCCUCCUUGAAUUGACUUUGGAAGGCUUAGAGUCACAAGUGUCACUCCUCUAAUGGCUUACAAACACCAUAAGCAAGAGGAUGAAGAGGAGAGAGGAUGGAGGCUGCCCAAAACGUGUUCUAACCCUAGAAAAGAAGUUCCCCACGUUUUUGAGCCUUAAGGGUUCUAUAUAUAGUGAGGCUAUUAGGGUUAUCUAACAAGGAAACCCUAAUUUGGUUGCUUAAGCCCUAAGCAACCCAUAGACUCCUUUAAUCAAGCCCUUGGACGAUUUCCUUAUGGGCUUCCCAUAAGAAUUCGUCCACCUCUUGAUUUAAGACAAUCCAUGGCCCAAAUUGCAAUUAUCUUAUAAUUACAAUUCCAGUCCCUUAAGUUUAAUUAAUCUCUUUUAGUCACAAAACUAAUUACCAAUUAAUUAUUGACUAAUAUUAAUUAAACAAUAUGAUUUCUCCUUUAAUAUAUUAUUCUCAUAAUAUAUUAAUAAAUCAUAUUUAAUCCUUUCUCUCCAUAAUUCAUCCUAUCAAGUUGCUUUGGUGAAGGCAACCCAAAAGGACCAUGCACCAUCGGGUCAAGUACAUACCAAAAUAGUUAUGGACUUAGACACUAAUCCAACAUAACUAUCAUACAUUGGCAUAUACAAUCAUCAAACAUAUCUAUCUCACUGAUCAUAAAUCAUAGAAUUCUCUCGUAACUAGGGUACCGACCUAGCAGGUCACUAACAUACCAAUCCUUACGGAUCAUAAGAGUAUAACAUACAGUCUAUCCUGAUUCCAAUCUAACAGAUCAUAACCACAUGUAGCAUACCAUAACAAUAACAACUAAAGGGCCGGCCUUGGUGCCGUAGACCCUAUCGAUAUAGUGAGGAUAACUCACCUUGCAGAUGUCGACUCGGAAGAUAAACUCUAACUCUCGGAUCACUUGACACAGGCUCCACCACCUAUGAUCAUAGCACAAUAUACUCAUAAGUCCUUAACCUUAUAAGGUGCUCCAUAACCCACUAGUCAACCCCUGGUCAAAGUCAAUGUCCUCAGUCAAGGUCAAUAGUCCAUGUUGACCCCCAACUCGUCGAGUACCCUCGGCUACUCGUCGAGUUCCUUGAAGCACAUUCCAACUCGUCGAGUCAUCGGGGUGACUCGUCGAGUUCCUUCGAUUCUUGUCUAAACUUAAGGCCACCCAUCGAGUUCCCUCCUUGCAACUCGAUGGAUACACACGCAUACAUAUCCUAGGGAAAACUCAUCCGACUCGCCGAGUUGUUCUUCAACUCGUCGAGUCUUAUGGUAAUCUUCAUCGGACUCGCUGAGUUGUUCAUCCAACUCGUCGAGUUCACAACCAUCUUCAUGUGACUCGCCGAGUCAUCCUUGCGACUCGUCGAGUCCAUUCAUUCCUUUUUCCAUACAGACUUGCUUUGAGCCAUGCAAUGGCUCCAAAUCACAGAUCCAAGCUUCUAGGGCAUGCUUAUCACGUAAAGUUGAAAAAUUUACGUGCAUGCAUGGCUAUAAAGGCUCUAAAUGCCUAUUUUAAGUUCUUAAUGGAGCUUCAUGCUCAAGAGGGACCUUAAUCAUGACCAAAACUGAAACUUUAUGCUUCUAGAAUCCAAGGAGGGUCCAGAUCUGAAGUUACAACCUCAGAUCUAGCCCAUAGCUCCUCUUUCCAACUUAAUAUUCCCAUGCACAAAACCCUAAAACUCAACCAAUGGAAGAGAUCCACAAGGAAAAAGGCGAUUUGGUUACGUCCAGAACAUGAUAACUGAGAUAGGUAUUGAUUCCCACACUCUACUUGCUCUAAUCUCCUUCUCCUCCAAGCCUUAUCCCUCCAAAUAUCCUCUUUUCAAGCUUCAAACACACAAUGGGCACACACACACACACACACGUGUAUUAGGGUUCUCACGGACUCUCUAGAACUGUGAAGAGUCCCAAGGGAGGCUAAGGCUCCUUUAAAUAGGGGUGCAAACCCCGGGAUUUAGGGUUUCAUCUGCCAGCUCCUACUCGUCGAGUCCUGAUAUUGACUCGUCGAGUAGAUCACUUAACACGCGAUCCCACCCCGCUGCUACUCGACGAGUAGAGCAACCAACUCGUCAAGUAGAGCUUAACCCAAUAAAUCUUAUUUAAAUAAUACCUGAGAAUCGGGGCAUUACAAAAGAGAAAUGAGGAAGGAUAUGCACUAACAUCAUUGGAGAGAAGAGGUGUCUCCGGUAAAUCUCUUUGCCCUUCGCCGCUAAUGUCACACUGGCGUCGUUCCCAGUGGCGUGGUGGUGUAAACGUCGAACAAGUGAGCUGAAAUCGCUAGUGACUUAAAUCAUGAAAUUUAAGUAGGAAACAUCGCACAAAGAUAAAGAGAAAGAGAAAUGAGGAAAGGGAUGCACCACCUUCGCCAGAGAAAAGAGGCGUUGACGGUAAAUCUCUUUUCCCUUUGCCGCUAACGUGAGAAUAGGGUGGUUACCAGUGGAUCUCGAUUUACUAUAAACAUUUUAUUUUCUUAUAGUUCAAUUUAGGGGUGCACAUCAAAUCGUACAAACCGUCUGCACCGCACCACAUUACGCGGUUUAGAAGUAGCAUAAUGCGGUUUACGGUUUGAAAUUAUGUUAAACCGCACUAUCCGAUGCGGUUUUGUGGUUUUCAAUUGGAAAGUUGCAAUUCUAAUCGCACCGUGUGUGUGUAUAUAUAUAUCUUACUAUAUUAUUAUAUAAACUUUACUAUUUCUAAAAAUAGAUUUAAGACGUCUAAAUAUUUAAGCUAACAGUAUAACAAACCAUUAUUAAAAUGAUAUUAUAAUAUAAGUCCUACAAAAUACAAUGUAAUAAGUACAACCGUUUAAUACACAGUAAAUACAAGUGUACAAUAUUGAAACAUUCAAACGUAGGUACUUAUCUUUCCCAAUAUAUUCCCUAAUUUUAGUGAAGACUGAUUCAAAUUCCCCAUAUUUUGCUAAAAUAACUCAUUCAAAUCGAAAAGAUUUAUUCAAAUAUGCAGGAAAUCAUAAAUACUAAUGAGUUCCUCUUCUCUAUUUCCUCGAAACCAUAAAUACUUAUUCAAUAUGCUGCAGAAAGGGGAAAGACACAAUUGAUGAAUUCCCCUUUUGUAUUUCCUCGCAACCAAAGAUGCUCAAUAACCUUAAUCCCACAUCUAUUCUCAUUAAACUUUCUCUAAUCAGACUAUUAGGGUUUUUGUGAAUGUCACGGGCAUCAACAAGGCUUUCAUGCUUGCUAUACUCUGAUUCGUAAUCUGAUAUGCCUCUGUCAUUUGCCAAAUAUGACUCCUUCAGAUGCUCUCCACUCUUCGGUUCCAUCUACAUCAGCCCUCAUAUGCGCACAUAUGUCCAACAUAACGGUAAACCUCUUAUCUAUGAUGUCUUUUGACUAUCUUGACCUCCAUCAUAUGAACUUCAUCGAUUUUCAUCAUAAGGUCCUAAACCAUCCCCAAUCCAUCUUCUAAGAUCUAGAUCUUUCUUUUUCUCAUAUCUACAGAUCGCAGUCAAAGUGCACCCAUGGUUAUAGUCCUUUAAGCUUAAACCGGGAGAAAAGGUAUGCUUUCUCAAUUAUGACUUCCUAUUCUCCAUCGAUUUCUGAAGUAUGUGUUUUAUGCUCAGAUGUGUGAUUUCUUCUCUUUAAGAAUUGUUUAAUCAGUUCAACUUUUGCACAACGUGAUACUCAUGUUUGAUUUUGUUAGUUUACAAUAUGUUUGUUGGUUCAGGGUUUUCACAUUUUACCUUUUUCCAGCUUACCAAGGGUUGUGGAUAAACUUUACUUUUUGCUUAAAUUUUUAUGAGUUGGAUUUUUUAUCACCGAGAUGUUGGUUGUAUACUAAUUUUGAAAAUCUUUCUUCUAAUUUGGUUACAUGAUUUUUGAUCGCAAGUCAAUUGCAAGGGAAGAAGUCUUGGCCAUUUUGUUCUUUAUUUUGGCAGUCCAGUUAGAGAAAAUGUGGCAGACCAACAAGUCUUGUAGAAGACCAAAUAAGGCUAAUAUGGCUCUCUCUCUCUCUCUCUCUAGGUCUUUUGUGUGUAGGACCUGUUAAUAUGUGUCCUUAUGGGAUCAAAGUUGGUGGCAUGGUGCUUUCGAUAAAGUUUUGGGUUAUGUUCUAUUUUGAAUGCAAGUUUCACUCUGGAAUGGAUUUUGGGUAAACAAAUGAAUCUUUUUGUUAUUGUCCAACAAAACAUGGGAGUCUUAAAGUACGCUAAUGGGAAUAUUUUAGCUUUACCUACGCCCAGACCGUUUUUCUAUUUCUCCCUUUUUUGGUCUUCAAUAGUUAUCUGGUUGGAUAUUUUCACAUUUUGAUUAUAUUUUUCUUGUGGCUUUCUGUUUAGAGGGAUUAUUGUGUUAAAUUAAAUUCAUGGAUGGGAGGCAAUAGUGAUGCAGAAAUCAAGUCCAUGGAGAGGAUUAAAGUUGAAAAUUGUGAUGAUAUGCAAAUCAUUUGAGAGGGGAAAUUGUAUGUUAUCCCGGUAAGUGCACAUUUAGACUAUGGAUUUUGAUGGUUAUAUUCUUUUUUUUUAUUAUUAUUAACAUAUGUAAUGCAAUGUAGUGAUAUUUUUUUUCAGGUAAUAGCUUUGCUUAUGGAUAUCCAACAUCAAAUACUAGAGAACUGUGGAAUCAAUUUAAUGCAGCCCAUUGAUUUAUUAAUGCACAUGGGAUAUUUAAAUUUCCUUAUAUGUAUAGGAUCAUAGGAAAUUUCAUUAAGACAUGGCGGAAAGUGAAUUAUUUUGUGCAUGGUUUUUAUAUUCCUAAGUUAAUAUAUACAUACACGAUCCAUGUGGGUGUUAUUCAUAUCCUAAAUAUUCAUAAUUGUUAUAUUAUAUAUGUUUGAAAUCUUAUUUUUGUUAAAUACAAAAUUGUAACUUUUGUUUUUCAUCAAGAAGUUUACUUACUUUUGCAAUCUAUGUUUCACAAUAAAAUCUUAAAUUCCGGUCUCUACUAAAUUUAGAUGAGAAAUCCUAACUUUAAUUAACAUCACCUUAUUAUAUUAAUAACCACAAUUCAAUAUUUUGUACAAGUUUGCUAAAUUUGAAA
rnacentral:lncRNA from 1 species